UUUUUUUUUUUUUUUUUUUUUUAGUUGGGACCCUAUAACCUUAUAAGGUGGAAGGAAUAAAAAUUGGAAUCAAAUCACGUAAGAGAAAAAAAGAAGAAGAAGAAAAGAAAAGAUUAGAGUGAAUUCAUUUUUGUAGUGAUUAUCCGAUAGUACUAAAUUUCAGGUCAAAUGAUGCAUGGAGAUCGAUAGUUCAUCAAGUGCUUCAACUCACAGCAGCUCAGCUAGUGUCUGCAAUUGCUUAGCAUGUAAAUUCAUUCAGCUGGUGAUUUGAUAGUUUAAGCUUAUAAAGCACGAUUUAUCAUUGCUUUUUGUGAAGUCUUGGAGCAUGAUCUCAGACGAGAUAGAUAAAUUAAUUGCCAUGCAAAGGCAAGGCCUACUUGAACGUUAGUAGCUCAUUCUGAGUCAACAGUCCCGAACCAAGUCCAGUUAUUGGACCAAAAAUGUGUUCUCCUAGAGCCAAGAAAUGGAAAAUAUUUUAUGUUUGCUGAGUUUUCAAUCUGCAUGCACGUACUUGAGGAAUUAGAAUCAAUCCAGCGCUUUUUCUCUUUCGUUUUUUUUUUUUUUUUAAAUUUCUAUUCUAGUUCCAUUGGUAAAGAAGCAUGUAAACAAUUAAGGUCAACACUCAAAUAUAUCUUUUUUUUUUGGCCUCCUCUUUCCUUCCCAAACCAUUCUUACCCCCAAUUGUGAGGUUUAGGAUUCAAAUCCUGAUCAACUUGAUAGCGGUGAGAUCUAGCUCUAAGUGGUCUCCCCUGAUCAUUGAAGUAAUCCCAGUAGUUAAAUAUACCACAUUACGCAUUGCUAAACCAACAAGUAAUGCUGAACCAACUUAUUAACCAAUUAUGGGAAUACAUCUAAGAAUCAAAGAGAACUAGUUUCAGUAACAAAGGUCAUUUGUGCUAAAUCAUUGAGAUAGUUAAUCUGUUGAAGAGCCUUGGGGUAAGGGGAAAAGGAGGGUGAAAGAAAAGCAAGGUCUACUGCAUGCCUCCAACAGCAGCUUCGGAGAUGGUAAUUCAACAUUCAAAUCCUCGCAUGCUUCUGGAUGUACAAGACAUUAUUGAUUAUCAGAAACAAGUUUUCGGUCAUUGCCUCCACGUUACAAAAAGAUUUGGCAGUUGUCGUUGAUGGAUUCCAAUUUCCGCAAGAAUUUAACCAUUUUUAUUUCCACCAACCUAUGUGCAUAUAUAGGUAACAGAUAAAAGGGACGAAAUGCUUGAAUCAUUAUGUGAAUCUUUGGUUCGUGCUUCAUUGCAGCAUGAUGUUGAACAUGAGGCUAUAGUUGACUUUCCUUUCCUUUCCUUUGAGCAAGUCAAGUAAUUAAAAAGAUAAAUAAAUAUAUAAUCAAAAGCCUUCCCUCAAAACGGGACCAAGACCGGCGGCGACCAUUGCCUGAAUUCACAAGGGACCAUACAUACAACUUUACAUUCUGUUUUUGUUUUUUUCCCUUUGGUUCUGAGUUUUGAGUCAAGGACACGCAUCUGGUGAUCAUAAUUCCUUUUUUAUUCCCCUUUUCAUUUUACUUUCAUUUCGAACACGUCGUAAUAUAGCCAUGCUGCGUUAAACUCAAACUAUUGUCCAUUAUCCAGACUCCAGAAAAACAAUAAUGGUACUAUGCAUUAUCCCCUGACAAUAUAAUGUGUCUUUCCUAAUUUACUCGUUCUUUUGGCUUCCUAGUUCUACCAUAAUGGAGAAUUUUUAAUCUCUUGUUUCUUUCCACUUGUAGAAUGUCAAAUUUGAUGAAGGUCCGGAAGAUGCUUCGACCUUCCCACGCUCGUGAAUAAGUAUUAUCUUGGUAGGGCCGUGCUCCUUUCCACUGCAUUAGAGAGAAUUUCUCUCUAUUACACUCGAAUAAAAUUAAUUUCAAAUUUAUUUUUAAAAAUCCACACCAUUCAUAAUAUAUUUCGCAUUACUUGUGGUAGCUAUACAUACAUUUCUGUAUACAAUGAAUUAAAUUCGACCUUUUGAUCAAUUAUUAUAAAUUUUGUUGCUGUUUAAAUAUUUCAUGUAAAUUGAAUAUCAAAGUAUUCUCAAAAAAAUAUCUUUUUUAGCAUGCUAAUAGAAUAGAUAUUUCAAAAAAUAAUGAUACAUUCAGAUGAGUUUAUAGAGUUAUAAUAAAUAAAUUAAGGAAACAAUGAAGAGAAAUUCAAUUGAGAGGCUCCUUGCCCUAUCUUGUUGUUGUUCAUGGUUUUCAUUCUAUCGUACGACCGUACGGGGAAUCUCUCGGUGCUCGAUGCACCCUUGAAGUAUUGCAAAAUGUUGAUAAUCAAAGUUUUUAAAACCUUGUUUGGAUUGCAGUUUUCAGUCGAAAAAUUACGUUGUUUUUCGUGAUCACAUUUUCUUAUUACCUUUUUCGUAGGAAAAUUACGUUGUUUUUCAUUAUCACAUUUUCUUAUUACCUUUUUCCCUCACAUACAUCGCUACAGUAAUUUUUUCAUGAAAAAUAAUGAAAAAUGCAAUCCAAACACAAAAAGGACCACAGCUAAUAUUCCUUCAUUACUUUUUUUUUUUUAAGACACACAAAUUAUACAAGCUUUUGAAAACUUCCCCGUUCGCGUGAGAAGUUUUAUGAAUGUUUGAACCAACUAUUAGAACAUCAUGCCUAAUAGCUAGUUUAAAAACUCUUUCUAACAUGUAUAAGACUCCAUUUGCUAAUUCACAUGCUAAAUAAAAUCCACCUAACAUGUUAAAUUACUCUUUCUUUGAUUCAAAAGCAACUACUAAGCGUCAUUCGAAUUUUUAUCCAGUCAAAACUAAGCAAAAUCUUACUAAUGUACAGCUCAUUAGACGGAAAUACAGAAGAAAAGUCUUCACAAGUUUAAACAAAAGGAUUCCCUCAAAAAAAGUUUAAACAAAAGGAGACAAAUUGAAGAACUAAGCCAGACAUUAAAGGAGACACGAGGAGACAAAUUGGCAUUAUCCCUUCCACAAAGAUACACUACUAGCGUUGUUUAAAAAAAAGCUAAAUUGAAGCCAAAUUUGGCAGCAUUCGAAGCUUGAAAAGUAGAAAGCAUGCAGCAACAGGAACAGGGCUCCACCACCGCACAUUAAUACAGCAUUGCUACAAUAUGUUUAAUCUACAAAAUGUAGUAAAUAAACGCUGAUAAGGAUGUUCACAGGAUUGGAACUAGCUAGCUAGCAGACAAAGGAUUAAUUACAAAAGGAUUUUUCUUUUCCAUUAUACCGUGAUUAAUCAUGUCAGUCCUAAAGCGGGACAAGAAAAGAAAGGUAAAGGAGAAAAAGAACAAAAGAAGGGAAAAGACCAAAACAAAAGAUUCAGUUAGUAAGUACUCCGCUGCUAGUUUUUGCUUUGCUGUGAAAUGAUUGUCAGUCCCAUUAUACCAUCCCAUGCAAAAAGUAAAAGUUUUUCUAGCCCUUUUGACCAACCCACCAUUUUAUGUUAAGCAAACUCAUGAACAGCAUUCACUCCUCUGCUCCUCGUCUGUCCUCCUUCAAUUUCCCCGUCCUUCAUUUCCAUAAAUAAAUCUUUGAUGGGCUCAUUCCAUUCCAAAAAUUGGUGUCUGGAACACUGAUAGAUUUGGCUUUGCAGGUUGGAAUGAAUGAAGGGUUGGCGAAAUCCAAUUACCAAAAUUGGCGGCAUCAUAAGUACUGCCAGUCCCAUUGCUGCUGCUUAAUGCAAUUCUUGUCACAAAUGGAACUUGUUCACUUGGACUUGAACUAUUAGUACCUGUACCAUUACCAUUACCACCACCACCACCAAGAACAUUACUCUGCUGAUGCUGCUGCUGAAAGUACACUCCACCACCGAAGUAGCCAUUAUUAUUAUUAUUAGUUGGGUAGUCCACGUUGAAGGAGGGUGUUGUACACUGCAAUGUUGUACCAUUUGGGGUACUGGGAUUUUGGAAAAGUGGGAUAGCUGUAGGAGUUGGGAUUUUGGCAGUGACAUUAUUAUUGUGGUAGCCGAGGCUAGACCAAAAAUCGGAGGUUGAUGGGGUGUUUUGUUUGAUGGGCAAACCAAAGCCGAGAGCUGAUGUUGAAGGCUGAGAAACAAAGGAAACCGAGGUGGCUGAGGAGUGGUCUCGGUCAUCUGACCGGUUGCUUCCGUCAGCGCUCUUGUUAUCAGAUAAAGAAUCUGAUGAUGUCUUGUUGUUGUUGUUGGAUUUAUUGUUGCUGAUUCCUCCAACGGGGAGAUUGCUGCUUGCUAUGCUUUUUACGUCGUAACGGCUGAUGUCGAAAUUUGUCACGGCGUUCAGGCCUCUAAAUUUGAUUGCAGCAAUGUCAUAAGCCUCUGCUGCUUCUUCUUGGGUACCUGUUGGGGAAGUACAAAAUCAAGAAACUAUUCUCUUAAACGACAUUUUCUGAAAAAUUCAAGUGCAAGAGACAAAAUUGAACAUUGUUUUCAAUUUUAAUUUAUCUCCCGUGUUAAGAAAAAAAAGGCAACAAAAUGGAAAUUGGCAUGUAAUGGAACCACAUUUAUUGCUUUCAAAGGCCCCUUAAAAGAUAUUUUUGGGCAUUCACCUCCACGGCCACAAAUUGUACUACUCGCAUAUUAUUUUGUUGUUCCAAAAAUUGGCAUUACUUUUUCCUUUAAAAGGCUGAUCGGGGAAAUGGUGCACGAAAGUACUUUGGUUUAUCAGGAUAUGUUGUCGACAAAGAUAUGAACUUACUGAAGGUCCCAAGGUAGAGAUCUUUGUUGCCAGCAACCCUUCCUAUUCUAGCUUGCCAACGUCCAUGUUGAUGGUGCCUGAUCGAACGUUUUGGCACAAAAAUUAGUUUCGCAGACAUCCAGUUACAUUAGUUAAAGGACAAGAUGAUUCAUUUACUACAAGGUUAUAUGCAUGCAUGCACCUAGUGACUCCUCUGUAGAUUGAUGCCCCUCUAGAAAACCCGCUACUUUUCCUGCAAUACCAUAAAGUACAGAGAAAAUAGAAUAUUAGGGAAGAGAGAGAGAGAGAUAGCAAAAAAUUGUAAAUAACGUAGAACUCCAACAAAGCUAAGAGGGAAAAUGCAGGUUAAAUAAAGCAUGGCUAGGAAAUCUAACCUCCUAAGAGAAGCAACAAAUUCUUGCCUAGUCAUGUGCUUCAUUUCCUCCAGUUCCUUCUCAUAGUUAGACACCUAAAUAAGCACAAGCCAACGUUGUUCAGGUAUACAGGGUGGACAAGCAAAGGGCAUGCAUAUAGCAUUCACGUGCUCACCGGAAAAUUUGUGGUGGUGGUCGGACCCCAGUAUUUAAGGGCGGCGAGAUCAUAAGCCCUAGCUGCUUUCUCUUCUUUGUCAUAUCCACCUGUGAAGCGUAAAACAAGAAAACCAUCCAAACACACCAGUAGUGUCAGAAAAUGAGAAUCCAAGGAGAAUCUAAUCCUAGAGGACUGUUUGUCCAUGCAGGAAGAUUCUCUUUCGAUACUUCUACAAAAAAUGAUUUGACUAUCAAACUGUGCUCAAGAAUGGAAAAUAUGAUGAUACAAUGAGAGAGAUCAUUAGUACUCACCCAGAUAAACUGAGCCAUGAUUUGAAUCGUCCAUUCGCCAUAAUCAUUCGCCCAAGUACAUGCCACAUAAAGAACCAACCGACAUUAGCCCACCUUCGUCUACCCUAUAGUAGUUUGAACGAGAAUCUCUUCUCAUCGAAUAAUGAAAUACUACGUGCUCGUGUUGUUACUUAUUAGCCCAAAAACAAAACCCAAUAAUUAUUUAAAGAAAAAUCUAAACGGCCUGCCUGCUCUUUUCGAAAUCCUAAAAAUCUGAGCUUAGAUCUCCGACUUAAAUUUGAGUUUGGAUAACCACGAUAGCAUGUUUUCAUUUUUUUUAAAAAAAAUUAACAACUAUAAACCUGAAAACCCUAGAGAAGUGAAAACAUAUACCUUGCCUUCCCUUGCGACUUUGCCCUUCUCUUCUGCAAGUGUUAUCCCACAAAUGGGCUUCAUAUCUUCCGGUCCACCUAUGCCUGAAGUUCAAAACAGCAGGGGAAAAAAAAAAGGAGAUUAAGUAAAAGGAGUUACUUAUAUACUAGUACUAAACAAAUACCAUAUACUAGUAAUAACAUAACAAGCAAUAAAUACAACCUUAAAACUAUUCUUAACCGGUGCUUACCUGGUAACCCCUCUGAAAAUAGACGUACGUUGGCCAAAAGUCUCGACCGCCUUCUUCGCAGGCGGCUCAGGAGCCAGUGGAACAGCUGCCAACUGCUUCUGGGAUUCAGCCUGCUCGGUUGAAUAUCCACGUAAAAAGCUAGCCGCUAUUGAUUUAAGCUCCGAAUCAUACACGUCCGCGUUAAUCAAAGCUGAAGUCUGAUUUCCCCCGCCAAACUGACAAACAUCAGCAGAAGAACAAGAACCAUUAGACCCACCACCCAAGAAAUCCUCAAGCUUGGGGCUAGAACAGUUGAGAACUGUUGAUAAAUCUGCUGCUGCAGUCACACUUGCACCAUUGUUUCCAUUAUCUUCUUCAGCUCUAACAACCGCCCCACCUAAAAAAUAUAAAAGACACAUAAAUAAAACAUUUUUGUAGUGAAUAUUAGUAAAAGAUUGUGAACAAUUUUCCAGGCCUAAUAAAAUAGUAGCAAUAAGGGGUGAUAGAGAUCAUACUCGAGGAGGUAAGGGAGUUGAAGGCUUCAAAGAGAGGAUGGUUGGAAAGCGAGAAGGCGAGCCAGUUGGGAUGGGAAGAAUCCAUAGGGUUUUGAAAUUUGAAGUGGAAGUGGUCGUCGGUGAGCGUGAAAGAAAGAGAUCUAACUUCUAAGCCAGAUGGGUUCUUUGGGAAACAGCGCCUCCUGAGUCCUGAGCUAAGCUAGCAAAUAUGUAUUCUUGCUGUAAGUGAGAGAAAAGCAGGAAAGAUUGGGGAUGAUUGAGGUGAUGAAAAUUACCACUACUGCCACUACUAUCUCAAAGGAAGGAAGGUGUAGUGAAGUGGAGACCAGAGAAAAAUAUACUUUGAGUUAGUGAAAGGAGAGGACACAAAUAUAGAGGCAAAAUGGAGAAGUUGCACGAGGAUCGAGGUCGCUCUCAGAGUCUUUACAUUACAUACAUAUACCAGCAACCCGGAAGAGUUUUCUACCCCCCAAAAAAAAAAUACAUACAUAUACCGGCAGAGUCUCUAAGGUAAGAGGUAAGACGGGCUGUGGGAAGCGGGGGUGGUGGCCCGGUGGGAAGCACUGGGUUGGAGAAAUUAGUAGUAUAAUAAUAAUUAAUGGAGGUAAUCGUUGUGUGUGUACAGUGGUCUGGGCUUGGUGUGUGUGCGUGCGUGCGUGCGUGUGUGUGUUAAUGCAUUAUGCAAUAUGCAGGAUGCAUAUGCAUGGGGAUUGACUAUUGAUGUAGGGAGGGUUGCAGAGUAAAACAAGUGGAAGCAUUUCAUGGGAUGACUGGGCGGUCUCUGUUGUCUGUCUCUCUUGACUCAACACACGGAAGAUCAACUUGUCAUGCUACUUACUGCUCUUUUUUUUUCCCCCCCUUACAAAAUUAGAUCGGCAGUGUGGUAACUUUACGUGUUUUACCGAUUGUUGUUAUUACAGACUCUUCGGACAAUAGGGUGACUAGGGGUGCCUACCUAAAUGGAUGAGCUUAACGGAUUUGAACGGGUUAUAAUUGGUUGGAUAAUAAAAAUAAUUAGUCUAAUUUAUUUAUAUUUAUUUAAUACAUGUGUCAAAAUAAAUCAAUUGAUUUAUAUCAAUUUAGAAAAUAGGUAUGGAUACAUUUAAUUAUCUAUUUAUGGUUCACUUGAAAUUUUAUUUUUUUAAAAUUUUUUGCAUAUUGUUUGACAAGAAAUAACGAUAUUUUAUCAUUAUUAGAUUGGUAGAAAAUUCAAAUUUACCUGCUUAACACCUACUAAAAGUUGAGUCUAAAUAUAUAUAUAAUCAUUUUAAUUAAUAGGAAUAAAUGGGUGAGUUGAGUCAACUCACUGCUUAUCAAUUAAAUCAAUUUGAUCGGAUCGUCAUUUAUAGACUCAUUCGAAGUUCAUUCCGUACCCAUAUCCAUUUAAUCAAUAUAAUUGGAUUAUAUUUAACACCUCUUGUGGUGAUUAAGGACUGGGCAAUUAGAUUUAUCAUGAAUUGUACAGUUGUUGUUUUUAUUAAAUAAUUUAAUAUAUGUAUUAUUUGUACACCAACUCAAUGCGUAAUACAAUUGUAUCAAAGUUAACUUUAAAAAAAAAAUCUUAACUGAAUCUAAGAGCUCAUUUAGAUUGUUAUUUUUUAAAAUUUUUAUAAAAAAUACAAUAAUAAUUUAAUAUAUUUAAGAUAAAAAGGUAUUGAUAAAUGUGUUCAUAGAAAAUGCACAUAUUUUUUGAAAAAAAAAAUGGGCAGUAAUAAGGUAGAAGUCCAGGAGCAUAAAAAAAGAGCUCAUACUUGGUUUUUAGUGAUAUUUCUUCAACGAAAGGAGAUUUAUACAAGACAAUUAGUGCAUAGAAACUUCGAAGUUUGCAAAGAAAGUUAAGAAAUUUAUGCAGGAUGGAGCUUUAAAAUUUUGCAAGGUUAAUCAAAAAAGUAGUCAUUGUAUGUGGAGUUUCUAAAUUAUUCUAAUGACUAGACCAAUUCAUAUUUCACAAAGAUGGGGAAGAAAGAGAAAAUUUUGCGAGGGCAAACAUGGGACAAUCAACUUUUAAAGAUUGAAAAAUAAAAAAAAAGGAGAAAGUAAAAGAAUUUUGAAAAGGAAAAGAUAAAAAGAGGAGUUUUUAGAGGGGUAUGGUGUGGCUGUUUGUGGGGAAGCAAGAAGGUGAAGAAGGGGACACGACGACCCAUAAGGACGCCCGACAAAUUAUUUGAUUUGGGCCCCAGUGGUUACACGUGGCAUUCCCUUUUAUUUUUCUCCCACCCCGCUUUCCUUGCACGUAGAGGAUGAGGAAUCGACGGCACUUUUGAUUUGGGUAUAAAUAUGCCCAAAUCAUGGAAUGAUUUCGUAGUAGCAAACAAAUUCUUUGUAUUUUUGGUGUCGGUUCCUCAAAAAAAAAAAAAAUAAUAAUAAUAAUAAUUUUGGCGUCGGAAGUGCCAAUGUGGCUAGAGAUUCUCUUCUCGGGGACUAUUUUACAAUAUCCCAAUUUUGUAGUGAUAAUUGAUAAUGUAGGAUUUAUUACGAGAUUUUUGUUACAAGGCGUUUAUGCUUUAUAUUUAUAACCACAAAGCAAAGUCAUAUGGGGUCAUUUUGCAUGUCCCAUGACAGCAACUUGCGUAUGGUAGCCGAAACACAGCAAGUUCGUCUACUCCAAAUCCUUUGCCUCGUUUCAAGAUUUGAACUUUUUAAAAAUAGGGGAUGUUCAUGGAUUUGUUUGUAAAAUUGUUCUCAAAAAUUCAAAUUUAAAAUUUAAAAUUAGUAUGAAAUAUUCCUAAAAGUGGAAAUAUUAUUGGAAGAGGUGAUCAAAAUUAAUUUUAAUUACGAUGAGAUGGUAAAUAUUUUAGAACAUUUCAAAAUAAAAAAGUAUAGCAUCGAUCUUUCAUAUGAAGAAUGGAGUGUUUAUUUAUUGGCCUUAUUCUUGGUUGCUUUCUAAAUUCUGAUUAUAAAGAAUAGUUAGAAUCAAGUUGAUUAUAAAUUUUAACUUUUUCUAAUAAGUAAAAUAUAUAUAUAUAUAUAAUCCAAAUGUAAAAACAAUCGGAAACGUCACAAAAAUUAGUUAGCUGAAAUCAAAAUUUAUAAUCAGUUAAAAUAAUUGGCCGAGAAUCGGCCAUUGACCAGCUAGUAAUUGUGUCCUUCACUAUAGCAAAUUUUCUUGAUAUAGAUUUUAGGGACGGGAUGGAUUUCAUUUUUUUGAAGAUAGAAGGCGCAACGUUCCAAAUUCCCAAUACCCUUCAAACAUAGGGGAGCAUUUCACAAGGUCAUGACGAAUCAUUGGGAGUGUUUUGAUACCUCAAUUAUUUCAAAUAAUAUUUUGUUUGCAUCACAAACACAUUUCUCAAUUUACAUUUUUAUAUUUUCAAUCAUCUUUUUAUCUCACAUAUAUCACAUCACAAAAAGUAUUACAGUAAUUAUUUCAAAUAAUAUUUCAAAUAAUACCAUAUCCAAACAAACCAAUUAUUUUCUUUUGGCUCUAAAGGAAACAUAUUAUAAUAAAAGAAACACAUUUUUAUACAGUUUACUGCUGUUUCGUAUUGGAAGCAAUGAUGCAAAUCCACUCUCUCCUCUCCUCGGUCGUCCUUGUUCUUUUUACGUUUUUCUCGAUGCCUCGCCCUUUUUCUUAGUACUACUUUUGGUUGUCAGAAUAGUUUGCACUUUUGCCUUUUGAACUUGUAUUUGGAACUAGUAGUGUAUUAUUACUUUCCUUCAAAAAAAAAAAAAAAAAAAACUAGUACUACUAGCUAUAUAACUUUAGUGUGAAAUUUGUUAAGAUAAAAAUAAUAGGAUGGUAAACAAGGGCAGUCUCUCCUCUUGAUAAAUAUGUAACGUCUACCUGCAAAAUUUGUGGCAUGGACGGGCUUGUUAUCGCUUUCUAAUUUAAUCUGAUUAUAUAUUCUGAUAGUUCGUUUAAUUUCCUCCAUUGCUCUAACGUUUACAUUUUAGAUUUUUUAAAAGUUAAAAAACUAAAAUUUAAAAUUUACUAAAGAGUAACUUUAGCUGAUUUUGAUCAUAAUUUUAUGAUUAAUAUCUAUCAUCAGUUUUUAUAAAACCUAAAAUGAACAAGAACAAGGCUGGUUGAGUGUACGCAGGUCUGGAAUUUAUACUUACUAGUGUAUAUCUAAAAUUGAAUUUGACCGUAUAAUUUAUACAAGAAUUGUUUCUCCUCCAAAUCCCAUCCCGGGUGGAUGGGACCUCAGCAGGAGGCAGGCAGCAGAGGAUAAGACCAUGAAAUGUUGCAGGAAGAAGCAGCCGGUAAAGCAAGAAAGUACGUACAUAUAACCUGUACUUUUUAAAAAUCAGCAUCUGCAACGCCCAAGCUUAAAUUUGGCCCCGCCCGGGCACCCAGGCAGGCAUGGACUGCAUAUAUAUAUAUAUAUAUAUAUAUAUAUAUAUAUCAUCUACCUGUGUGUGUGUGUGUGUGUGUGUGUGUGUGUGUGAGGGAGAAGGAGAGAUGGGGGUUGGUGAAGAAUGCCUCAGCCUGCCCUUUGUGCAGUAUGCAGAGAGGAUAGAUUCGGAAAUGGCGGCCAUAUGCAUUGCAUUUGCCACGCGUCCUAAAGUGCUAUCUCUCCCCCUUCGCCAUGCUUCAUCCUUCAAAUCUUCAAUAGUCCCCUGCGUCCGCGCCUUCUUUUACACGACUAUAGUAUUCCUUUGGCAAAAAAUGGUACUCAAACUUCUAUCUUAAUUUGUCCCUUUUCACGAAACAGUGCCUCAACAUGAUAAAAUAUUAUUGCAUUGUUUCUCUGCCUUUUGUUUACCAAAGAAAAACAAAUUUGAGAAAAAGAAAGAGUGCGAAAUUUGAGAAAAAAUGAGGAUUUAAAUCCAAAAAACCUAAAUUUUCGAAUCUCAAUUUUAACCAUUAAUAUUGCUAAUGAAAAUAGUAGUAUAUAAUUUUAAACUUGAAUUAUAGUAAUAUUACAAAUACUGUAAUUUUAAAAGCUACGAACACGUCUAAAAUUCUACAUACUAAAAAUUAGAGAUUAGAGUUUGAUAUUAUGAAAAUCAAAGCAUCUGUAAUUUUUUUAUUUUCCUUUAAUCCUUUACCAAAUUCACUUGUGUAUUGCGAAAUUCUUCUCUAUAUGUUGAUUCAUAGCCCUGCAAACUCCUCAAAUAAUCCACUUUUAGUUGCGAAGCAUGAAAAACAGUUGAAAUGGUACUUUUGUAUGCAUGGUUAGAGUGCAAAUUAGGUUGUAAACAAACCGGCUCAAGUUAAGUUUUGAUCUAAUUGAGUCGAGUUUUGAUUUAAUUUUACUAUAUUCGAAUUUGAGUUCGAUGAGCUUUCAAAUUUGAACCGAGUCAAGCUCAAACUCGAGUUUAAAAUAAUAAAAAUAAUUACCUUUUUAUUUUUUAAAAAAAUAAAUAAAAUAGUAAAUUUUCUUAGUAAAUAAUAAAAUAUUAGGAAUAUAUAUAUAAUUUUACUAUAAAAUUUUUAAAAAUAUAUAUAUAUAUAUAUAAAAUCGAGUCGAUUCGUAAACUAACGAACUGAAUAUUUUUAAUCUCAACUUUGAGUUCGAACUCGAUUUGAUCAUUUCAAAUUCGACUUGAAUUAUUCGCGAUUAGCUUACGAGCGGCUUGACUCAUAAUAUACAGUCCUAGACUGCAGACUAUCGAGUCGUCUCGCAAAACUUACGAGUUGAGUUUCUUUAAACUCAAAUUCUAAUUUAAACUUGACUUGAUCAAUUUCAACUCUGACUUGAAUUCUUCGCAAGUUGCUUGACGCUCGUGCAACCCUAGUCUGCAGACCAUCGCAAGUUUUUGUCAUCGCUUUGUUUCGUAUAGUCAAUUUGCUCCAAUGACUAAACGAACAAUUCAAGUUUCCACGUCUAGUGAACACGAAAAAUGAACAAUAAAUAUAAAUACAAAAAUAAAAAACGAUGACAGAUCAGAUGGAAGUGAUGGAGAGUACAAUAAGUCAUGCGACAACCAGCCUAUCGUUCCGAAUUGACCCAACCCCCCCCCCCCCCCCCAAAAAAAAAGAAAAAAGAUGCAAAGCGUGGGUGUCCCGGUAGUGAUUGGCUGAGAAUUCGGCGGGACAUGGUUGGCAGUAGAAUUUGAUUAAUCAUGAUAUUUCCAACGAAAAAAAAUAAAAUAAAUGCAUAUGAGGAGGCUUCAAUGGAAAAUAUUUAAUAGAAAGUAUAUAUAAGAAUUAAUGGCUCCGACGGGAGCCGGGUGUCUCUCAUGAUUUACCAAAGGCCCCAUAAUUGGUCAACGGUCAAAAACGACUCGAGUGAAACGAAUCAUUCCACACGUUCGUUCGUUCCCCCCAAAUCUUUUGACUAGCGCUAUUAUUACUGCAUGAUCACUUUGUUACCCUCUCCCCACAUGACCUUCCAAUUCUUUAAUCAACUACUAGUAUUACUUAGCAAUUGUUACUGCUAGUCUGCUACAUGGUAUGUAUUACUAUUAAUUUUAUUCCUAUGUACUAUAAUCACACUAAUAUUAAACACAUGUUACACCUACUCUUUUUUUCUUUGGGGUACUGAGCUAUGUGGAUAAGAGUUAAACCUAGGGUGAUUGGAAUUUGUUAAUGCCUCGAAUCUGGAAAAAAAUUUUUUUGUUUAAAAAUAAUACUAUAAUCAUUUUUUAUGAUACGAUAUACUCCGUCCGUUUCAUUAAAAAUGUCAUACUUUUUCUUUUUGGCUGCUCCAAACUAUUUGUCAUAUUUGAUAUUUCUAACUACUUUAUACUCUAAAAUUUCCCUUAUGACCUUCAUUAAUGAUACAUAAAGACAAAUGUGAUGUGAUUGUUUUUUAUUUUUUACUUUGACCAACAAGGUAAAAAUGGAAUAAAAGAAAAUUUUUUUUUAGUGGAGUAUACUAUGUAUAAAAAGUACAUAUCAUCAAAUAUGACUAAAUAUAUGAGACGGAGGAAGUAAGUGAUAAAAAUGAAUAAAUAAUAUAAUUGUAAGCAAAAAAAGUUUCAAUGGCGUAACAAAAAAUACUUUCUAAAACAUUACCUAUUCGAACAAACUCUAAUUUUUUUAAUCAUUUUCUCAUCUGUACGCAGAAAUGUACAAUAAUCAUUUGAAAUUGGGUAAUUAGGAAAUUAAUUUUUUUAGAAAAUAUUUAAUGAGGAACAAAAAUGUUAAAUAUAGUGAAAAAGGGCUUUCAUUUUUUUUUUUUUCAACAAACGGAAAAAGGGCUUUCAUAUUGCCUGUAAAUUCUUUACGCCCUUCCACAGGAAGAGUUAAAAAAAAAAAACGGAAAAAAGAAAAGAAACUCAUACUAGAUGGGUGGGAUGGGACCAAGAAGUCAUUCAAGUAGGUCUAAGGUAUUUUAACAAAAGCCCUUUUAGUCUGAUGGGCAAUGGUCCACGAAUGUAGCCCAAAAAGGAUCGAAGACCAGAAUCAGCUCACCACCCAAAGCUGAGUUAGGAAUAUUUUUUACUGUCGAAUUUUCUCCUGGUAAUCUGCUAAGUAAAGCUUAGAGGGGAAGGGAAAAAGUGGGCGGUGGAGUGAAAAUCACGUGACUUCUCUCUCACAGCCAAAGUCACAUUACACGUGUGAUCUCGCCUAGGAAUGUGUACGUCCCUGAUUUAAUCUGCAGCUUCUUGUCCACUCAUUGUUCAACCUGAGAAAAAAGAGAUGCAUGCAUAUUAUUAUUUUCACGAGUUUUACAGGCUAUUGAUUAAUUAACAACAGACGGCAGCCGAUAAAAAAAAAAAAAAAAAAGAACAUAAAUAAAACCCUCCCAAUUCCAAACACCGAGAACCAAGAAGAACCAAUAAUAACCAUUAGGCAACCCAUUGCAUGCUAGUAUUGUUUCAUCUAAUGCUCUGUUUACUCUUUCGAAGAAAACAGGAGACUGCAAAAAGGAUCGACAAAGAAAUUAACGCUAAAUGCAGUACAAAUAACACGUACUAAGAAAUAAAACUGCAACGUACCUAAACGUAAACUGAAGGAGUAUCAGAAAUUUAUUAGUAGCCAUGUGGCGUCGAAAAUAAAGUGGUUCGAUACUCGUGAUCGUUCCAUGGGUGCAGCCAGAAAUCAGCAAUUGCCUUUUGAUUAUAUUUGUAGGAUUCGCUUAGGUGUGGUUUGUGAAAAUUCUUGCUAAAAGAUACUUGUAAUCGAAUUCAACUCCAUUAAAAGCACGUUCGUGGUUCAUUGACUAGUCAAACCAAGUGGCCACGAGUAGCAAUUUGUGUUCCCACAUUUUGUCAAAUGAUUAUUUUUGUCUCUCACUUCUAAAAUGAUGCUGAUUUUACGUCCUUUACAAAAUUAAGUCCACUAAAAUUAAGUUUCCGACCACCCACUUGUUAAUCUGAACCCACUAUAUAAAUCACACAUGGUUAUAAAUAAAAAAUAAGAAUAAUUGGAAAUAGGAAGCAUCCGGGUUUUAACCAUUUGGGCUGGGUAUGGCCUGAAAAGUCUUUCAGCAUUUUUAAAAUGGUCCAAAAAUGGGCCUAACAAAACCAGUCCGAGGAGGCCCAAUUGAUAGGCUGCAGUUGUAAGUCAAGGGCCAUGACAUUUGCACAAGAAUCCAAACAAAAAAUACCAUAUUCCUUCCAUUCCUUUCCCUCCCGCUCCCUCAAGACAAACAAAGCCUCAGGUUAUCACAAAUCAUUGGUUGCAUUUCAAUUUUAUCAUUGACAUGAAUAACUCUUUGAAUAUCUAAUGCACUUUCACCAAGUAAUAAUUUGCCAUUUUCUUCUCUUUUUUUUUUUUUUGUCAAAAUGUUAUAAUUUACCAUUCACAUAAUAAACAAAGUAAAGGCUUUGGGUGUUUGAUAAUACCGCAAUGCCACCUGCGGAACCAAAUGUACUUAGCUAACAAAGGUUCCGACUUCCAACUUUCCACGUGAGGGAAGAAAAAGUUGCGUAACUUCUCACACUCGAAUCAGAUUGCACUUGCGAAGGAUUAUGAAGCAAUAUAUGAAUAAUUGGUCUGGCUCUAGCAUUUUGAUUUAAUGAAGGUGGAGCCCUUUAGCCGGGUUUAACUUUAACUUCUAAAGGACGACAGAAUCUAAUAAUCCUUCGUCCUUUGAGACAUCAUAUUGCGGCUGCAAAACAGAAGCUGCAACGGACUUUAAGUCUUUGAUCAAUCAUUCACUGCAAAGUUUUCAAGGUGAAGUUCAAUCCUAAGAGAGUACUAAGUUGUUUUACCCUUUACAUCAGAACAGACAGAGCCAAAACACGGGCUAUCUAAAUAGGGUUGGAAACUUUUCGAGCGUACAAAAGUCUGCUGGAUUUUACUUAUCAUGGAGCCGAUGUUCCCUUUUCAACUCUACUACUAAGAAAAUAGGACAUCCAACCUAAGUAAAUGAGUGCAAGCAUGGGUGCAUGAUGAUCUUGCUAUCAAUCCUCGCAUUGAUCUGGGGCAUAUGCAUGUCAUGACUUCAACCACAGGUAGUGGACUUGUAAUGACAUUCAUCAAUUGUUGAGUAAAUCAGCCCUUCUGAUUCUAGGGACUCAAUAGUCUCCCUACAACAUUGACAAAAGGGGGGGAAAGAAAACUGGUGAGUUGCUUUCAUUACUAUAUCCGCACGCAAGCAGAGAGGCAGAGAGGCAGAGAGAGAGAGAGAGGAUACGUACAAGAUCUUUUCCAGAGGAAUUUUGAGGUGCUGGGUAAUUUCAUUCCUGUGAACUCCCUUUUCCUGUGCCCUGGAACAUGGGAAGAGCUCAAGUCAAUAAGCAUCAAAAAAGACCAUGUAUAAACUCAAAUUGCAAAUAAACGGACUCGGAAGAUUAUCAAGUAUUUAUUUAAUUUUCAAAUCGAAGAUGAAGACAAUCCAUUUUCUAGUGAAAAACAAAUUACGCUAGCCAUUUCCCUGUUCCGUGCUGUUAGCAAUACAUUCCGCAGCAAAUUACACCGGUCAUGCAGCCCAUCUAGACAAACUAUUCCAUUGACACUUAUUUACGUUUCUAUGCAGUGCAGCCCAUUUGCAUCAACUUUUAUGACUUACACUGAGGAAGGUUGUUCUAAGUACUCUAUCACCAUUUUAUCAAUGCCCUUGAGUCCAUCCGUGCUAUAUUCUCCAUAGAACUGAGAAGUCCAGAAGAACGAAUCAGAAACAUUAUAAAGAUCAAGUAAUCUAAUGCUAGGCGAGUAUUAAUGUCAACUGACUUGAUUUGAAGAAGAGCUCUUGUGUCCAUUCACAGGAGUGCUAACUGCUGAAAUUGGAUUAUGAACUUGAGAAGGGGCAAUGACUCCAUUCUGCGCCAUGUAUAUUUGACAAUAUAUUGUCUCAGUUAGAAGAUGAAAUAAUUAACGAGUAUAACCUAUUCAGAUAACUGCAUGCUACGCACUGUUGAAACAGAUAACAAGCAAAAGUUGUAUUUAUACCCGUCUGGUGUUAAAGCUGUGGUAAUGUAUGCAGGCGAGAAAGUGGCUUGAGAGCUCAUCAUAGUUAUUCAGAGGCCUGAAAUCAAGAAAAAAUUCAACCAUUGGUAUACAAAAAUGGCAAAAUAUUAGUCAUCUAUGGACACCCUAUUAGCUAGCCUAUGUGCAAUUAUGGCAUGACAAUAGAAAAAAUGUAACAUGAACAUAAAGAUUGAUCUCCUCAGAAAAUACGCAAUCCAAUUGAACAAAUUUCCUCAAGUUUUCACCUCCGAUUCCAGCAAAAGAAAAAGCAUCCAACACCGAGUUGCUAUUAAUGCUACAAUUAGAUAGAUGUCAUUUUCAAAUCGUUUAAUAAUCUUAAAUGAGGACAAUAUAACUCAACUAGCAACAGCUCAAGCCAAGAAUCUUUAUUUCUCAGAAAAAAAUUUGAAUAAAGCUCAUAUUAAAUUGCAAAAUGAUGCCUACCUGAUGGCAAAGACCUGAAGUUGCUUUUUGCCUUGCAAUGCUUUCAAAAGUCCAUGCACUCGAACAUACUUCCCAUCCCUAUAAUUCAAACAAAAAACAUGGUUUGAAGUUAAAUGUAAAUGAAGCAGAACUAACAAAGUCGGAGACCUUACUCUACUCUCCCGACUUCCUUGGUGUCCACGGCGUCAUUGAUCCUGCAAUGUAUAACAUGAAUACAUACUUAGCCAAAGAUGAACUUCAAUAUAAACUACACUUGCAGUAAACAACCAACAAUGCCAUUAGCCAUCUGAUUCCCCACACUGUCACAGCAUUAAUGCUUGGUUAGUAACAAACUAACAACCUCUAAUACAGGUUGUCAAGAUGAUCAACUUGACGCAAGACUAACUUAUCUAAGGUUAAGCGGUAGUAGAACCUAAGAAAACAUAAAGCAUAUUGGUAUAUGUUUUUAACAUUUCUACACACAUAACAGGAAUCAGGCAUUCAUGGUUUACAUAUCAAAUGAUGAAAACUGAGGAUAUUUGACCCUCUGAUAUAAUUUCCUCCUUUUACUUCUGAUUACCUUAAUUUCCAAGAUGCAAGUAAUUUCUUGACAACGAAAUCAAACAUAAGAUUCCAUACGCCAUGAAUAUUCUAGCUAUUACUAUUAAUAUGAAGCACGUCAAGGGCAUCCAAUUUCCCAAAAGAGUGAAUGGCUGUCCACAUCAAAUUGGAAUCUGAGUUAAAAAAAUAUCAAAUGAACAUUUGAAUUUAGACAUUGUCCUAACCCCCUUAUACAAACUGACAGAGAGCUAAAUGUGAAGUGAAUGGUAAAUAGUAUACCAUCUAAGGCAACCAAUACGGCCAGUCCCAUCAUCAAUCUCAAAUUGGACAUCCGUAACCUUUUCAGAUUUGUUAAAUGCCAUUCCCACCAACAUCACCUGAAACCCGAUACAAAUCAGGUAUCUUCAUAUAUUAAAACUCAAAUCUUGUGAAAAAAAAAAGGUAAGAAAACAAUUUUCAAAGGGAUACAAAAAAUAAACCCACAUUUUUUACAUCAACUCCGUCGAUCUUAAAGCUUGAUUUGUCAUCAGUUGAUAGUACUGCAUCGCUUAUUUGCUUCACCGUUACCGGAACCAUCGGCUGUGCAUCUCGACUCUUUUUUUUCAAAUGUGUCCAAAUAUUCAAAAAAAAGAGUAAACAACAAAAUAAUAAAGAAAAUUGUGAAAUGAAAGAAAAUGGGAUAAAGUAGAAUUUGACCUUGGCUGAGGAGCGGGAUGAGUCAGUGGUUUGUGAAGAAGAAAAGCCGCCGCCGGCGACAUCUAUCUGGCUGCUGGAGAACAUUUCUCCUUGUCUUCUUCUUCUUUGUUAUUUUUUUCGUUAUGGCAGAUACGUCGGUGGACGAAUGAAGAGGACUGAUCAAAGUUAUGGAUAACAUAUUUACGUUCCCGCCAUUUUCAUUCUGCUUUCCCGCUAAAAAUUGGUGGACAUGUUUAUGGGAGGAAGUGGUUAAACGAGGCCCACUGCUUCAAUGGGUUGGCCGGAUGAAACAGGCCCGUUUUGAUUUGGAUAGUGCACCAACACGUUUUGGAAAUGAUGAAAGUGAAGUUUACGAUUAAUUGAUUGCCUUUUUGUUUGUCAUAACUCACAAGAAGAAAGAACGAAAAGAUUGCCCCAUUCUUAAUUUUAGGUACAAUGGGAUGAAAAAAGUUAGAUUGAAGAUAAUCAAGCGGUAAAUGAUGUCAAAAGAUUAACCGUUUUCUUUUGUACUUAAUAGAAAGAUCAUCUAAAUUGUAGAGCUAAGUAGAAACAUGAUUGAAAGAAAUGAAAAUAUUUUUACUUAGUCAGUAAACACAUAAGAAGUGGUAAAUUUACAACUUUUUAACCAAUUAUAGUAAGAAGAUUGUAUGUACAAUUGUGACAUUAACCUAAAUACAUAUGAUAUGACUUAACAAAUGGUACAGAGAUAUUUUCAAAAAAAAAAAAAAAAAAAAAAACAAAUGGUACAGAGAGACAUCGUGGUAUAUAGCCUUAUAAACUCAAAAUGCGUUUAAUACAAUAAAUCAAAGUGCAGUCCAAAGAACAAACGUGUACAGAAUUUGUGACAGAUUAAUCUACAUUCCGAGAAUUGAUAUUUAUGCUCAUGGGUUCCGCGGAUUGAAACAAAAAUGCUUGCGACUGAAGAGAUCUCUUCGAAGUUCUGACAAUUUCAUUAAGCUAUGUGACCUGGGCACAACAACUGAGGAUGCGGAAGAUGACCGAGGAACUGAAUCACCAUCACUCCACUCAGGUCUCUGAUCAUCAGAGCAGCAAGAUUCUGUUGCAUUGAGAUCACGUCUAAAGCUGACUUCUCCAACUUUUUCAGUUCUCCGCAUUUUCUUCUUGUUGAUCCAAAACCACCCCAUUCUUGACAGUUUAAAGCCAUUGGUAGUUUUCGCUGACUCCUCGUGAGAAUUAAGCUUUGGGAGCGGUAGUCCCAAACUCUGAACUGCUGGUGGAGGACUGGGGGGUGGAAUCAGCUCAUUUUCUGGUGGAUGUUUUGGUGUCCCUGGCUGCAUUUCCCAUCUGAAGGGAACCCCUUCAGAGCUUCGAUAAUACGAACGAAAAGAUUGAUCCACAGAAGAGACCCUGCAAAGAAUUCUGUUGCCCGCCAUAGAGCCAUCAUUUUCAGCUGUCUCGUGUACUCGACAGUAGUACACCUUCCUGUCCCCUUCAUCCUACAAUAUACAUUCCAUAAAAGAGUCAUAUUAAUCAUAACGAGUAAUUGUUGCCAUCUCAAGUAUUUAUGAUGCAAGGAAUCAUAUUUUUGCAUGGGAGUACGGCACAUAAUACGUAAUUUUAAGUCUUCAACUCAAAUUGUGAGGUGGGCUCAAAAUAUAAAGCAACCAGAACUAAGCGCCUGGUAGUGUCUGAGUUUCUGGUCAGGGAGACUCUAGAUCUUACAAGGGCAAAGAGAAGGGGUUUCAUGAUAUUUAUGCGCCAAAAAAAAUCAACACAUGAAUAACUAGUUAGAAAGUAGCUGAGCAAAGCUAUCCAAUUAUCUUGUAUUCCCAGCUUCCGUUGUGAUUUUGGCUUUUGGGGAUCACACAUAUUCUGUUUUCUGCCUGGUUCGCAAUCAAAUUUUGCAAAAAUAAAACAUUUCUGAACUUGACUUGGAGUUCAAUAUUGAAGUGACGAGUGAAUUGUCCAUGCAUAGCUGCAUCCAGGUUAUAAGCAAAAUAUGCAUGAAAUAUUCUAGCACGCAAAUAAUAAAAUGUAUCGCUUAGCUUAGACAAUGAUUUGGUGAACUUACCUGUCUGUCCAUUUGUGCUUCUAGCGCGUCUAUACGAAGAAAAUGCUAAAUUCUACUCGGUCAAAACAUGUAAUUUACUUCAAACACAUAAACACAGAAGAAGGAUCAAUUCACACAAUCACCAAGUACCCCAAAAAAAAAGAAAGAAAAAUCAUAUCCUUCUUGUGACACGAACCAGGAUUGGUGAAUUGUCGCACUGACUGCAGCAAAAUGGACCUUCAACGGACUCCUUUCGAUUGCUUGUUGACUCCAUGGCUUGACUGUUUGAGGAAUAUGAAGAUGAGGAUGAUGAAGUACAUGACUUGUUAGAUGACGCUACAAAAUCUCCAUCAGAUUGAUCACCAAGUUGAAAUAUCUGACCAUUUUGGUUUAAACCGGGGACAUCAGCGUCUGUCCCUACUGAUGUUUGAUUCUUAACCUUCCUACUUCUAUUGAUUAUCUUGAUUUUUCUCCAAAACCAGAUCUUGGAGUGAUCUGGAUGUUUGGGUUGAUCAACACAAGGCUUAGGCAGCCCCAAGCUUUGAACUAGUGGAGGGGGGCUAAGCGGUGGAAGCUCCUCAUCUUCAGGAAGAUUCUUUGGAGUCCCGGGCUGCAUCUCCCAUCUAAAGGGAACUCCCUCAGGUCUCCGGUAGUAUAUACGUGAAGAUUGACCAACAGAAGACUCUCUUGACAGAAUACGAUUGAAGUAGACACCAUCACUUUGAAGCACAGAACUUGGCUUCUUUUGCUGGUCAUUUCGGAUUUUGGAAUUCAUUCUUCCCUUCAAACUACAAAUGCAAAACGCACAAAUAUAUUCCGACCAAGUAGCAAGCUCCAAUAGGUUCCUAGUCUUCCAGAUGAAUUUUUUUAGGUGCAAAAGGUUGUGAUUGUUGAGUUGAAGCUUUGACCCCGCAGCUCUCUUGACAAAACUUCUGCAAAAAUUCACGCAUAAUAGUUAGUUGAAGUAGCAUCCCUGUUCAAUGGCGAAAAAUGGGAAUUGGGGCACGUUAUUUCGAGGUCUGUGAAGAUGAAUGAUUGUUUGAAAUCGGGGUUUUGUCAAUAAAUAUCACGUUUUUGUUUAUUUGCAAGUUACAUGUUCCCUACCCCUAUGACCUCUUCUGUUACUAUAUGUUUCUUUCGAGUGAUUAUUUCUCCUUUUCUCGUACACAAGCAAAGAGAACGCCUUUGCUCUCAAGGUUACGUUAGCCAAAUUGACAAUUGGUUUUAGGUUUGCUGCAUGUGCCUAUAACCCGAGCCUCAAGACAAGACCCACUUUACUAGUGCACAAUGGAAAAUCAACCGCGCUGGAAAUCGACUCCAAAAAAUCCUGGAGAUGAACUCUUCCAAUUAACAUGUGCCACGAGGGGCUAAGCUUAGUCAAACUCGCUUUUUUCAAGUGCUCCAGUGACAGCAUGAAUAAAAUAUAAAUGAAUAAACCAGUACAGCACUUGCUUGCCUAAGUUGCCUUGUCAAGCCACCUUAGUAAAAGAUUAAGAUUUAAGCCCACCGCUUUCGGCUUCUAAACUGUCCAUGGCAAAGAAAUUCAUGAUACUUUUUUCUGCAUCUCUUUGAUUAAGCGGAUACAUGGGCAUGGACGCAGACUAGCGUAGCGUGUGAUUGACACCUGACACCGGUGGUGUAUGUAAAUUCUGUUCUUAUGAUAGUACUACUGUUUCUUUUCCAGGAAACUGAUUGCACUAAAAUCCAGGGAUUCCAUGCUCUCACACCGUUACGAAGGGUGAAGUCAAAUUAUUUAGGCACAUUUUCCUACAAAGCUCUCCAGGUCGCCUGCACAAUUCUCAUUUCUUAAUUUUGGGCAAAUACAUCCCUCCCGCACACAGCACAUUCGCUGUAGCCCUCUUUACUUCCAUCCCCCGUUUCCUUCCUUUCAUUUUUUAUUACAAUCCCUCCCCUCGUGCCGAUCAUUUUUGGGUAAACAAAUUACCUGUUGUUCCAAGUGUUAUUCAGAGACCGAAAAUAACCCCAGCUAGCAAGAAGCCAUCAUUAAGGAAAAAGCCACCCUUACAAAGAAAGCCAGAGGUGUCACAACAGAUAUCGUUGACAUAUAUACCGGGUUUAGUGAAGGAGGGAGGCUCACAAUGUUGUUGUUGCCAAGGAAAUUUGCAAUCAGAAAAACAUCAAUACGUGACAAUACAGUAGGUUAAAGGGCACUAUCGUAAAGCCCUGCAUACGUCGAAUAAGCAAAUGCAUACACAAAGCAAAGCUAGCUACGACGACGUUACAAUUACUAGCCCGAAGUAAAACAAUAGUUCUUUCAAGCAGCCUGAACAGGUAGCCCAGAUGACUUGCGACCAUCAAUGCACAUGUAUGCAUAUGUUGACCCGCCCUAGAUAUUGUCAGCUUCACAUCAUUCAACCAUAGAUCAUUGCACGUGACUUUCAGCAAGUUCAACUGUCAUGACUUCAGACAGCCCCAUAUGUCAAACAAAAGAUUUCAAAAAGAUAUACCAGACAACAAUGAGCCAUCAUACCUGCCGCAUGCACCUGGUUGCAUCCAUCAUCAAAUACUUGUCCUCUCCAUUACUGCCAAAAAGUCGUUUUUGACUUGUUAAAUUAAACAGAGGCAUGCACUAAGUAACUGGGUGCCAUAACCGAAUAGAUUAACUAGCAUUUGCAUCAUUGCCCUCGUAGGGGCAUGAUAAGAACAAGUCCACCGAUGCCAGAACAUCAAUAUCAGCCUCACGAUAUUUGCUUAUGUCAAAGUUCUUCAAAACCACACCCUUGACCAUGUUCAUCUAUGAUUAUUGUUUUUCUUUUCUUUGGUGACAUUUGAUUAUCAGUUGUAUCGUCCAAAAAAAUGAGUACAGCAAUAGCACACAAUAGCAUGCCAGGAGAGAAUGCAUGACAGAGAAACUUAAAAGUCUAUUUUCCAUGUCGUCUAGAAUGUGUAGAACAUAAAGAUUGCCGCCUUGGCUUGGAUGGGAUUCAUCCAAAGCUAGCAUAGCAACAGAUGAAAGUUUUCAAUACUGACAGAGUUGUAAACUUCAACUCUCAUUGCUGUUUAGACCAGGUUAAGGUCUAAAAUUCUUUCCAUUUUCUCCAAGAUUCUAAUAUGUGAAAAAAACAUGGAUAACAAUGAAAAUGAUAAGCAAAUGAAUUUUCCAAGACCAUUACAAGUCUAUAACAGAUGAGAAACAUUAAUCAUCUCAACAGAAAAAUAAUUUAACUAGUGAAAGAAAGAAAGCUCAUGACUGUUUAUACCUCAGUUGGCGAUGAAAGAAUUAGUUCUCUGUCAGAAUUUAUAUUACCACUCAAUCUCCUGCAUAAGUUUACUUAAAAAAUAAGUAUCAAGCCUUAGCUGCUUAGAUUAGUUUGGGGGAGCUGUUACGUGUUGAGAAAGUUACUUCUUCAUUACCUUGGACGUUCAGACUUUGUAAGAUGCUUAGACAUGAUGGAAGCCUGCAGUCCAAAACAAUACAGGGGUAAAAAUUUCUCAUACAGAGGACUAUGAUCAUAGAUAUCAGAAUUGUAAGACAGAAUAUCAAUCUAGCAACAGAAGCACAAUGAGAAGCUAUAUAGUGAUGGAAAUAUGGUAAUUUCAAUCAAAAUAAGGUCCAUGGCUCGAUCCCAGUUGGAGUUGGAGAUUAGCAAAUGAACACCAAGUACAAGAUGCAUUUGAAAAUUUAAAACCAGAGGGCAAAAGACUAUUCAACCACUACUUGAACAAGUCUACAAAUAUUUCUUAUUGAUUCUUCUGAAUAAUAAGAAUCUCUUUUUAAUUACAAAACAUCAUCACCUGCCUUAACAUUACUGUUAACUUGCAACACUGCAUAACAUCUAUUGGAAAAGGCACUAAUGAAUAUUUGACCCAACAUUUAUUGCAGUAAAAUGCAAUGGGAAUCCAGAUCUAGAACCCUUCGUUCAACAACCUCGGGAAAUUUCCAACCACAUUUUCCUGUUCGUCACAUGCACUAAAGAAUUGAUAGAUUUUAGCUGCUUUUGGAAAUAAUUCGAUUUCUGUCACCCAUGGUCUAGUUUGUGCAAAUUCAAGGCAUAUACAAAACCAUUGUAUUAAUCAAUUUACUAUGAGCAAUGCCUAUGCAAACAAGCUAUUCCACAUUCUGAGAAUCUUAAUUUAGUUGAACGCGCAACAAGAUGGAUAAACUUCUUGACAUAGAAUUUCCCCUACUAUAAAUUCAAUAAAAAUUACUUGAUUAUAGGUUAAUAGAGAGGUUCAAUAUCAGCACCAUGCUGGUGUUAAAAAUUAACACCCGGAAAUACGGCAAUUGAAAACAACUUUUGUGUUUGGUUUAUCUAUUCAUUUACUGUUUUGCACAUGUGCCAUUCGGGAGAGAAGGAAGGGGGAAGCUGGAAUCUAGGGUUCGUGGAAGGGGAUUGUAUUGAAUCUUACAUACCUGCUCCUGAAUUAUACUCCUGGCCUCAACAAGUUGAGCUUCCAGCUCAAGUUCUCUCUCUGUUGCUUCAGACGUGACUUCUGCACCUUGUUGUGCAUCUUGUAGUUGAACCAUGCGCUCCUUCAAGUUUCAGAACAUAGAAUAAAGACAGUGAUUCCUUAGGGAUUUAACCAUCAGAUCACAAAACAAUUGUCUGCGUAUAGCAUGAAAAUCUGCAUAUUCUACCUUAAUAGAGGCCAUUUUAGUUCGUAGACUUUCUUCAAUUUGAUCUCUAGCCAUAUGGAGAGGAAGGUCAAACAUAUCCUGCAAAACCAUGAAUGAUGAAAAAUGAAGUUCUACUUCUUCAAAAAAACAUAAUUUUGCAAACACUCUGCCAUACCGUUCUCCCACCCAAAGGGGAUUGCAAGUGGUCAAUCUCUUGCCUUCCAUUAACUAGAAAAGAUUGAUUGGAUGUACCAUUUGGUGCAUUCAAAAAGUCGCGCAUGUCCACCUGUAGGUAAAAUAUAUCAGAUAAGUUAGGCUCAAUCAGAAAGAGCUUCUCAUGAUAGGCUCGAAAAGUUAAGCAAUCACUUGGAAGAUUAUAUAUCAAAUUUUCAUCAACCAGAUCCUUUCUAAGCAGGCGAAUGAAAAGUAACAAAAACCAUAAGUUCCUUCACUCUUGGAUGUAUCACAUUGGUUAUGAAAAAUGAAACUAAUUAAGCACCAUUUAUUUUGACACUUUCUUCAGCUUGAUGAGCCUCAAUUACACGUGGAAUGGAAUGCACCAUGUAAUACUGAUUUCAAAGAAUUUUGGCAGUCAUGGCCAUAUUAUUUUCGUUAGGUCUAGACAAGCCUUCAUCUUAAUCUUCAUUAACUCUCUUUAUUGUGAAUCAGUUCAGCAAAUAGAGCUACAAAAAGCAGUGUGUUUCCUCUUCUAGGAAAAGACAAAAAAUUGCCAUAAUUGAGUGGUCACCUGCAUUGAACGUAAUAAUGCUCUCAGAUCAGCAUUCUCUGCCACUAGUUCUUGGUUUUUUGCUUCAUAUGUGUCCACCUAGGAGGAGCAUAUGGUGAGAAACGAACCAAAAGGAUGGAAAAAGUUCAAGAAACAAAACCAGGUGACUUACAAUCUUUUUGUAGAAGUCAUUGUCAGCUUUCUUUCCAUUCCAUGUACCACGCUGCCGCCCUUCUUUCUGUUUGCAAUAUGUUAUGAAUGACAAUAAACAAACAUUUUUAUUAACUUGCAUAAGAUGCUCUGAAUUUACAAUUACCUGAAGCAAAUUCAUAAUCUCCAUUCCUGAUCUAGAUUCCUUCUUCUUCUCCAUCAGAACUUGGUUUAGCCUUUCCUAUGAAAAAUAGAAAAGUAACAACUGUCUUACCAUCUAGCUAGCCAAUUACAUGGCAUCAAUUACUGUAAUGUAUUGCAUACACUUAGCAUAUCCAACUUCAAGACCAACAAAAAUUCAUAUCAUACCUGCAGUUUUAUGUACUCUUUUUCCUUUUUCUUCAUCUCAUGUAUUUGUUGAGUUUUAACUUGCUAUUCAACAAAAUACUAGAUUUGUUAGCAUCAAAUUUUCUAGGCAAAAUUAAAGAAAUCCUGUAAUGAACAUCAGAUGAACUGAAAUGUCCUGACCUGAUUCCCAAUCACCAUUCUUUGAAACUCAUCUCGUUCUUGCUGCAACUUUUCAAUUUGCGCUUUAAAAGCUGCAGAAGCUUUUGCUUCCUGGCCAUAAACUCUUAGUUAAGCUCACAGAAUAGCUCAAUAGGAUAAAUUAACCAAUACAAGACAAAGAAUAAUUCCAUGUGGUAAAAUACGAACUGUUCUAGUCAUUGUUGCUAUUUCUCUAUCCUUGGAUGCAAGUUGGGCUUCCAAUCUCUCCACUUUAGCCUCGAAUCUUGAAAUGUCUGACAAAAACCUUGAGGAAAAUAGGAAAAAAACUGCUGAGCGAUUAAGAUCCCUGGACAAAGCCCAAGAGUAAUAACUGCCAAUUCAUUUCAAGAAUUAGUGAUUCAUUUUAAGCAUAACAUUUUUCUAGCAAUGACACUAGAUAGAAUUGAUAAUUCAUUUCAAGCAGAACCAUAUUCUAUCUACAAUAAACUGAAAACUUCUUUGGGUCCUCAAAAACCUGAAGUAGAAAAUUGACAUAUGUACUUAAAACUGACAAUUAAAUACCCAGCAGUUAUAUAGAAGCGAGCAACUCUAGUUCACUCAAAUCCUCUCACAACUCUAGCCUCCAAUUUCUUUCAGACCACAUGUUUAAGUCAAAAAAUUCCUCUUACUCCACUAGUCUCGUAAUUAGUAGAUUAUACUAGGUCUUCCAUCCAUGAAACUUCUGAUCAAGUUAACAAAAUUCAAGAGCACUCAAUUUAACCCUCGACAUUAUUAUGGUAAUUUCAACUCAAAAAUGUCGAAACUUACAUUUUAAACCAAAGUAAUGUUAGUCCAAUUACCAAAAACAAAAAAGAAAAGAGGAAAUCACAAAUAAUUGUCUGCAAAUGACAGUUAAUUUCACAGAACGAGCCACUUCCUUUAUCAUGAAAUUUGUGACUGUGGCGUGCCUGUAACCUUAGGCACAAAUCCUGAAACCAAACACCACCGCUGCUCACCUCUCUCUCUCUCUCUCUCUCUCUCUCUCUCUCUCUCUCUCUCUUCGCAUUUAUUUUACUUUCUAUGACUCCACAAACAAAAGAAAAAAAAACAAAUUUAUUUCUAAAAGUGUACAUAUAACCAGACAAACUAGACUUUGUGCACAUACAAGUUAACCGCCACAAUGCAGAAUGACAACCCGUAAGAAAAAUGUACACAGAUUGAGAAACCAUUUACAUUUCCAUUCUUCAUUCAUAUUCAUGUAACCACACAGUCCCCAAACAAGCAAAAUUAUAUGGUAGAGGAAGGGCCAUACCGUUGUCUCUGCUCAUUAGCAGACUCUCUAAAAUCAAUGUCCCUCUGCCUCUGCUGUAACAGUGCAUAUAUGCAAUUGCAAGUCCUCGCGAUUGAAACCUACUCAAAUUGCACUCAGAAAACCAAACGAAGUAAAUUCACUUGCCUGUGCGCGCGCACACGGGGGAAAAAAAGUUCAUAAGUUACUGAAAAGGGGGAAGAAAAUGGAAAAUGCGAUGACUCACUGGAUCAUUGGCGAAGAGAUCAAGCGAAGCCGGAAAUCCGAAGGUGACUAGGGUUUGAUUCAAGUACUUGGCACAGUGCUCGAGGUUGUUAACGUCAGCAAAUGCGUCACUGAAAACUCACAUCACAGCCGGCCGAGGCCAUCUUUUUUUAUUAUUAGCAUAUAAAUCGGACCAUAUAUCAACCAAAAUUCAACACAUUGUACGAUAACCACAGAAAUCAGAAACCUAAGACAACUAGUGCAAAUAUAGUUGUGCAAAUAUAUAAAUAUAUAUAUAUAUAUAUAUAUAUAUAUAUUCGAGGAAUUAAUAGUAGUUCUUUUCCAUUUUUUCUUUUUUUAGUGGUACCUGAUCCCCAAACUUCCAGGCGGCGUAGAUGCUCGCUGCAAAUGUAGUAAAAAUGAGCAGAAAUUACACAAAAUUUUGAAAUUUUAACCUCGGAAAGGGGGAAAAAAAAAAGAAGAAGUUCAUACUCGGAGAUCAAAAUCAGAGUCAGUCGGAGGCGGCAUUGUCAGCAAAAGCAGCUUCACUUUAAUAACAACAGAAAUCCACACCAAUCUAAACGAACUCGAUCAACCGGCAGCGGGCGUGUGUUUUAGGAGUAGGAGUUGAAGAGAGAAUGCGUAGAUCUAAGGGGAAUGGGAUCGUGCCAGGAAUUUUUGAAAUUUGGAGUGAAUAGUGAAGUAAAAGCGGAGAGGAAUGAUGGCGCUUCAAGUAGAUUCAUUUCUCAAUUACUACCAGAAGAGAAAUAGAGAGACUUGUUGCUUUUUAGUACAACUCCCUCCACUUUUUCCUCUUUUUCUUUUUGUUGGUCUUCGUUGUUUGGAUAAAUAAUAAAUAGCAGCAGUGCUUGGAAAAAAGAAGUGGGUAGCAAUAAAUAAAAGGAUUUAAAAGAAGAAGGGGACAAUAACGGACAGAUAGAUUUUGCAGGUCUGACUUGUUUGGAUUUGAUUUGGAAUUCGUGAGUGAAGUCGGGGGAGCGGUCUGACGAGUUCAAACUUGUGGUUGACCAAUAGUACACGACUCUCUUUCACGAGCAAGCAAACAGGCGCAGGCGCGCAUUUUUUAGAAGUAAUACCCACUAACUGACUACUAAUUCUUAUGAACCUCAGAUAAUUUGCUUCACAGUAGUGCAUUCGGAAAUUAAAAAAGAAAGCAAUGUGGAACAAAAAGUUUGCCACAAGAAAAUUAUUGGACUCAAACUAUUUAUUUAAAGCCUUAUCUCCCAAGCACUUCCAGAAACAAGCAAACGUAGCCUUUAAACUCAAUCAACCGUCUCGGGGAGAUCAAGAUUGGGCCAAAAGCAAGCAAUUGAUUUGCACCUACUAAAAGAAAAAAGAACAAAAAACGAAAGCAGCGAUGAGCCUGAGGAGAGAGCUAGUGUCUCGUAGUUGUGUUUGGAUUGCAUUUUUCUAAGUUUUUUUUGUAAAAAUUUACUGUAGCAAUUUGAUAUAUGUGAUGUAAAAAUGUGACUGAAAAAUGAAUUCACAAAAAAAAAUAGUAAUUUUUCUUUGAAUCAAAAUUGCUAUCCAAACAAGAGGCCUAAACUCAUAUUAUAUAAAGAUUGCAGUUAACACCUUCUAAAAAAUAUAUGGGUAAAAGUCCCAUCACUUUAGCCAGUCACUUGAACGAGAAAACUGGCUUCCUUCCACCUUGUAGGGCUGUACGCUUUGAUGAUGAAAGUUUGGUCAUUAUUAAUUAAGUAUACUAAAAGUGUCAACAAUUCACAUCCUGGCUGGCAAUUACAAUUACUAAAUUUUGAAAGUCCAGGUAAACAAACUCAGAUCCAGUUCCGCCCGCAUCAUUAACAAUCACUAACAUGCGUGAAACAUAAUGGUACGCAGCAAUUCAACAAUAUAUUGUUGGAUUUUGGCACAAUAUUUUUUUUUGGUCCAAAACGGUAGAAAUGUAUUGCUUGAACCAAAAAUAUUUACAAACGAGCAAAAGCUUGAUACAUACAUUGUGACUGUUAGCACAGUAGAUUAGGAUUAACCCAUUCUACGUCUUGAUAACUGCUCAAGGCUUGAACACUAAAACAAAUACUAAGAUCAUUACAAUUAUAUAUAACGUACCAUUUUUUAUAAACAUAGUUCAUCCCUAAAUAAAUGUUGUUUUGUCUGGACAAACUAUUAUGUAUUUCAAAAAAAAAUCUUUAGAAAAACGCUAUAAUCUUUUUCUUUAUAUAUAAAUAUAUAUAUAUAUAAUUUGAUAUUUGUGAAAUAAAAAUGAUAACAAGAUGAUAGAGGGAAAUGCUUUUAUGCAGCAACGUUCGAAGCUAAUUGUUGAUUUCAUUCGUCGGCUCAAGUGCCUUGAUCCACAAGGCUCUAAACAAAGAGACUCGACGAGCUUCUUCUUAUAGCGAAGAGGCAAAAGUAGUUAAAGAAUCUGAUGAUUUGCGCGAUGCAAUUAGGCUUUGCGAGUGACAACGUGUUGAAGCCAUGAUGAUGAUCAUGGUAACAACCCAAUAAAACCUCGUACAAACGUCCAAACCCCACACUCCCGAAACCGACAGAACAAGCUUCCUCUGCUUGAUGUUGAUGGUGCCCUGCCAGUCCAAGGGAGGGAACUCGUACAAAGUUAUGUGUUUUUUUUGGUUUCCCCAUCUAGAAUGUCAAAAAACUUUCAACAUUUUCCUUAUAAACUAAAAUCUUUUCUUUGGAAAAAAAAUCAUAAAGUUUUUAUGUUGAAUCCAGAGAUAAAUGUGCGCGAAAUUCGCCCACCCAAGAUAAACAUUCUGCCAGUGCCUAUUCCACCUCCCCAAAGUCCAAGCCCCAAACAACCAAGUAGAAUUAUUUGCAAUGGUACGUUUCGGUGACUUUUCUCUCUCUAUUAUUUUGCUUUAUUUCUCUUGUUCUUGUUGUCAAUAUUAUUAGAUGGUAAUUGAUGAUCGUUUUCUUACAAAAAAAAAAAAAAAAAAGGGAUAGAAAAUGAGAGCUGCCAUGCCAUUCUAAAAAUGGAGCCUCUUUGCCAUAGAACUAUUUUAUAUGUCAUCAGAAAUAGUAAAUUUAAUUGUAAAAAUUAAGUUAAAAAAAAAAAAAAACAAAUACCAUACUGUACGGUUUGUGAAGAUGCCCUAGCCGAGAAUCCGUCACGAAAAGGAACCCAAUGAACUGGAGGGAUGAUUGUCAUGUUGUGGGCUUUUCGUAUUAAUUCUGAGCCAUAAAUGGAGAUACCAGUUGAUACGGGCUUGGCAUGCUUGUGGUUCGAGAAGUUGUCCCCCUGUCGAAGCAAACCAUCCAUUUGCCUUCUUGGAAGAUUUGGGCCAAAAGCCCCAUUUUGCUUAAAGCUGUUACCCUCUCCAGUCUCCAGGAAAAGAAAAAUCUGUUCAUCUUCCACCUCCCAAAUCCCCACUGAAAAAUAUUAUAUGAAAAUUCAACGGGUCGGGUUCUGAUUAGAAUUGAAAUUUUCGGAUUCGAAUCCGUUUUUUAUGUAGUUGACUCAAAUCCGACCUAUACAUCCGACGGGUAUUGAUUUUAGAAUUUUGGAACCGGAUUUGAUGGGCUCCAGGUCGGAUCCAGAUCUACCCAGAAAAGAAGAUGUCCAAAUUUAAAUAUUCCAAAAUUAAAUCCAAAAUCAAUCACAAAUCCAAUUUCCAAACUUAAACAAAUCAAAUUACAAAACUAAAUCACAAAUAACUUGCAACAAUCAAUUUGAAACUAAUCACAAAUCAAUCUACAAAAUCAUUACUAAAUUAUUAAUUUGGUAAAAGAAUGUAUUUACAAAUAUUUAUAUUUUAUAAUUAUUAAUUUAUUGUUCGGGUCAGAAUCAGAUACGGGUCAGAAUCCUAUAUUCCAUAUCUGACUGACCCUUUUUUUUGGUUAGAGUAAACGAGUCUAGAUCUGGGUUCGGUACCGAAAUUAUUUUUUAACCAAAAUUUGAAAAAAAAAAUUAUCGGAUCCGGAUCGGUUUCGGAUCCAAAUCCGAGAUGUUGACACCCCUACCAGAUAUGCAUCAUAUUUACUGUUAGUCAAAGAUGUCCCUGGUUUUUUGCACAUUUGUUUACAUACUGUUACGAUUCAAGGUUUUUCUGAGGGACGCUUCAAGGUUAAAUGUUGUUGGCUUUUAACAUUAAUCAAGAUGGAAUAUGUUUCACCUUAUCGCCGCCUAGAAGUUUUUCCGAGCCGAAACCUCUUAGUACAUGCGUUUUGGUCAAUUCACUGUGCACCUGAUGUUUUUUAAUUGUUAAACAAUGAUGUCUUCCUUUGCAGAAAAUUUUGCUGGUUUAAGUUGUAAAAGCCCCCACAUAAAGGUAGCUUAGCUACUCACGGACUAAGGUGACUACGUGCUCUAAUGAUGAUCGAUAAAGAAGAAGCAUCCUUGUCUGACUUUUGGGGCAUGCAUGGAUUGCCAAUCAGCCAUGCUUCUCAUAUUGUAGCAAGCAAGAGGCAUGAUAAUUAAUCACAACUGUAUUUGUUGAUUUUUCAAAACCUCCUCCGGCCACAGCCCUUGCUCAACAGCCACCACCAUGCCGCCUCAGCCCCGCCCCUGCUACCCUCGCGAUGCAUGUCCGGCGUCUCUUUUUAUGGUCUAUGAUCUUCCAUUAGCACGAGGAAACCUUUAUCGCAGUUGAUAUGUAAUUUAUAUAUCUAUAUUAUGAUUGACAAAAUGUCCACUGCUGCCAGCCUCUUCCUUGCUCCAUAUCUCUAUCAGGACGGGUGUCCGUCUCCAUUGUCAUCUUUAUUACGUCGCAAGAGUCCCUACUUUUCUUCACCAAAGACUUCAUGCUAGAAAUGAAUGACACCACGGAUUUCCCGUCCUCCAAGAUUAAUGAAUAGCACCACAGAUUUUGGAUUAUGACAAUUUUACAAGACUUUCAGCAUUUACUAACAUUCUAUUCAAUACUUUACCCUGUCCCAACGACAUCCUUGCCUAAACAAGAUUACGGUACCUUGCUUACCCAAUCUACGCCACCCACAACAAACAUAUGUACACUCGAAAGCAAAACGAGUUGCAUUAUGACAUAAAUUUGUGUCACUAUUGGGGUUGUACUCCUUCGAGAAGUUGAAAUUCACGGGGUAGCUCGAGCGGUCCGCUCCUAUUUUUUAGGGUAGGCGACCUUCCUGGCAACCAGGGUUCGAGUCUCGCUGUUAAUGCGCUUGGGAGAUGGGCCUCUCCACCCGGGUCAGAGUGGAUUAGUCAGAUCCCGUAAGAAUUGACCCGAAACCCACUCCGUCAGAAAAAAAAAAAAAAAAAAAAAGAGAAGUUGAAAUCCGUACCGAAUCGACGAGUUCAAUUGGUUGAACUGGAAACCAAAUGGGUAAAACCGCUAAACAAACCGAUCAAAAAAUGAGUUUGACCGAAAACCAAAAAUCGCUUCGAAUCGGAUUUUUUUCAUCUUUUUUUUUUUAAAUCUUUUUUUGAACUACUCCUAAGUCUCUUCACAUAUCCUACCAUCAAUCUCUCUCAAACAACUCCAAUGGAAGAUCUAAGUUCAAAAAGAGAUUAAAAAAAAAAUGGAAAAACAAAGAAAGUAAAAAAUUCACCUAGAAACAUAUUAUUAAUUUUAUGAUUUGACCCCUAGAGUACAAGAAAACUAUUAUUACACCUAGAAACAUAUUAGAACUUAUAGCUAAAGCCCUAAAUUCUUGUAUUACUUUUCAAAUAAGCCCUCCAAUUUGGUUAUAAACUUGUUGAAUAUGCAUUAAAUGGUAAAUUGCAUAAAUUGCUACUUAAUUAUACUACUUUAUUUGUAUUUUCUUGUAAAGUAUCUUAGAAACAUCAAACAUACAUCGAACUUACCUGUUUUAAUAUUAAUAUUUUAAAAAAAUUUACAUAAUGUAUUCAUUUUUAAAAUUAAAUAUAUUUAUGAUAUAAUGAUAAUAUCAUCCGAUUCUUGGAUAGAUACCCGUUAACUCCUGAUCUCGAUCGAGUCGAUGGCCGAUCUGAGUUUCAAAACAUUGGAAAUAACCAUAAAAAAUUAUGUAUAAGAUUAUCAAUUUCUCGAACUAGUCACUAACCAUGGAUCAAAGUCAUCAUAAUCAGGAAGGAGAGACAAGAUUAAACACUAAAAUAAUCGCCCAAAAAAACAUCACCCACUGACCCGUACGAUCACAACUCGUAGGGUCAACACCGACGGAGGCUCUCUUCUAAUGGCCACCAGUCAUCAGGACCUAAAACAGUUUUUAUCGACACAAAAUCGAUUCUGAGGGUGCUCACCUCGGCCACCCCGCGUGUCCGAGGUGAAGUCACCUCGUCCCUCAUCAGAGUCCAUCCAGGUCUGGGGCAUCGUCCCAGACCCCGGCCGGAUCCGCAGUCAACCGUGUAGGUGACCUCGGCACCUCCACCUCGGCUGCACGAUGAUGAGGUCAACCCAUCUGACAUCAUCCAGGACCAGUACUUUAUCUGAAAAGCACUGGGAGCACUUAAUGGCACCUGCACCAUGUCCUCCGUCAUCACUCCCAGGCGGCUACAGUGUCAGAGUCAGACUCCCUGACAGGAGACAGAGCCGUAAUGUCAGAGUGGGUCCCACUAACAUAAGUCCAGAGCCUCGCCUCUACUCUCCUAUAAAUACCUCACUCACACUCCCACCAAGUAAGCGGACACUGUUCAUUAACUCAUUCUCAUUAUUCUCGUUCUCAUACUAACUUGAUCGUCGGAGUGAUACCAGGGGAGAAGCCCCGCCACUCACUUCGGACAAGGAGGUUCACUUCGGACACAGGAGUUCACCUCACUUCAUCUCAGAGAGGACUGAUCCAGGUCGGUCUAGUUACCAACCAAAAAUCACCUCCUCAAUUGGCGCCGUCUAUGGGAACGAGACUACUAUUACUAAAAUGAGAUCCACGCGCUCCAGAAGUGGUCGAGUUCCCUCAACUGAGGCUGGGCAGACCUCGGAGCCCAGCAAGAUCGCAUUUCUGAAGAGCAAGGGUCCCCGAGGACCCAGCCUAACAGCGAGGAGGCCAUCGCCAAGAUGGCCGAGUUCGUAUCAUACAACCCUACCAUUUUUGAGGAGCUAGGAAGGUACCUCAAAAGACAAGGGAAAGAAAAGGCCGAGUCCUCCAAGAGGAGGCCGACGAAGUCCCCUGAGGUACCUUCAGGUGAAGACUCAGAUGAGGGGCGACUCUCUCGGAGUACCUCCAGGCGCGCCUCCUCCAAGGCAACGUCUAAACUUGCCUCCAUCUCCCGGGCGCUGUCUCGGAGACUGAUGGGAAACGAGCUGAGGACCCACCUCGGCCCCCGGGGGCCUGGCUUCUGACUACAUGAGGGCUCCGCCCUUUACUGAUGACAUCAAUGGGAGAUGGUACCCCCGAAUUUCAAGCUUCCAAACUUGCCCACCUAUGACGGCCGAGGUGAUCCCGAGAAUCACCUCCGCGCCUUCAUCUCCGCAUUCCGACUCUAUUGCGUCCCCGACGCCGUGAUUUGUCGGGCUUUCCCCAUUUUCCUACAUGGGACUGCCCGGAAGUGGUUCUGGAGUUUGGAACCGGGGAGCAUUUCCUCCCUGGAUGAGCUGAUAGACCGGUUCAUCCACCGCUUCGUGUCGUCUCGACCAAUCACGAAAACUUCAGCUUAUCUCUUGAACCUUCAACAGGGUCAGGGCGAGUCUCUUCGCUCGUAUGCUCAAAGGUUCAACGAGGAGAAUGUGCAAAUACCUGAUCAGAAUGAGCAGGUAACUCUCGCGGCCUUUACCAACGGGUUGGUGGCCGGACUCUUCAACACCGAAAUCCAUCGGAUUACCCCCGUACACUUCACGAACUCUGGGAAAGAGUGGACCAGGGAAUCCGAAGUGAAGAUGUUAAUCGCAUAAAGCGAGAAACCCAAGCCUCUCGUACGGGACAAGAUACCCGGAGAAGGAAAGACAUCGGCCGAGGUGAACCCGGCCCAAGUGGCACUUCAAAUCCACCCCGGGACCGCCGGAGUGUCUUCGACCGGAUCGUAAAAGGAAGAUCAUCCACCUCGGACGCUGAGCUGACACCACUCAAUUCUAGUCGGUCUCACGUCUUGGCGGUGAUGAGGCAAAAUCACCUCGGCCGAACACCUCCUGAGAUCCCUGGGAGAAGAGAUAAGAGGAACUCCAACCUCUACUGCGCCUACCACCGAGACGUUGGGCACGAGACUGAAGAUUGCAACGAUCUGAACCGAGAGAUCGAAAACCUGAUCCGACAAGGAUACCUGAAGCAGUUCAUCCGCAAAGACGGAAGCUUCAACCGAAGUGCCUCCCACCGGGAGAGCCGAGGUCCUCGCCGAGAGGACAGGCGGGACACCAAGCUUAAUUGCCGAGGUCCUGAGAACCACAAGGGGAUCAGAGGCCUCCACGUGACGGAUCACCAGGCUACGGCCCAAACAUAGUCGGGGUGAUCAACACCAUCUCAGGUGGCCCCACGGGAGGAGACAGCCAGAACUCCCGAAAGCGGACACUGUUCAUUAACUCAUUCUCAUUAUUCUCGUUCUCAUACUAACUUGAUCGUCGGAGUGAUACCAGGGGAGAAGCCCCGCCACUCACUUCGGACAAGGAGGUUCACUUCGGACACAGGAGUUCACCUCACUUCAUCUCAGAGAGGACUGAUCCAGGUCGGUCUAGUUACCAACCAAAAAUCACCUCCUCAGAUUCAAAUUCACUAAGCCAAAAUGAUGAUGAUUCAGGAGAAACAACUCGAAAAUUUACCUUAAUCACGAAAACUCACCACAUUAUCAUGACCUGCAGCCGCCUGACCAUCAUCAUCAUCAAGAUUACUCCCUCGGAUUGGAUUCAACACUUGAUCAACCUCCCGGAAAGAUACAGUCAGACUGCUCAAUUUUUCAUCAAUAGCAUCAAGCUGGUUAAGAAUAGACGGUGACGGGAGAUCACCAUUGACGACCCCGGAACAUUGAUCAAAUAUAUCUUUCUUACUUUGGAAAGAAUCCUUCGCGGCGUUGUAGAAUUCCAUCUUUUCUUCGAUCUUUGCAACUACUCCGUCCACAUAAUCCACAGCCUUGCUCAUGCUGUCCAGUUUUUGCUGCGUUGUACAGAGGUAGUUCAUCUUAUCAAAAUUUUGCAUGACAUCUUGGGCGAUCUCCGACAGAACCUGAAUUUCAGCACUGACUUGAUCCAUUAGUGGGAUAAAUGCUGGCAGCUCGACAUGAACGGCAUUGCGGAAAUGUUGCUCGGCAGCCCUGAAGCCAUCAAGCAUCUCUUCCAGAAGUAAUCGGCAUUCCGACGUGGCUACUCCGAUGGCCAUUGACGGAGUAGACAACUCAGAUUUUUUUUUUUUCCCUUUUUAAAUUCUCGCAGGAAACCUAGCAUUGACAAUACUACUAACUAACUGGAAUAGACUCCUCAAGUUAAAUAGCGUACAGCCCAUGGAAUCCAUUUUCUUGAUAACUUUUACAUUACCCAACCAUGUUGAGGAAGUAUUGAUAAUCCAAUAUUCUUCACACACAUAAUAUAUAUCUAUAAAAUGAGAAUUUCAAGUUUUCCCUCUAAAUUCUAAAUUAAAAAAUAAAUUGCAGAUUUUGACAUUUAUUUGAUUAUACUCUUGCAAACAAACGAGAUAGGGAUUUGUUUCUCAAAAUUCAACAACGACUUGAUAUAGUGGCAAUGGAUGCUUCAGAAAGUAUAUAAUAAUUCCCUUCCUUUAAAUUCCAAUGAUAAGGUGGUUUCCCUCACGGAGAAAACUGCAACCUGGGCCUCUUUUUUAUCUGUUACAUACACGAUACAGGGUAGAUCCCAUGAAUUCUAAUUGACCUACAUUUUUCUCCUGGAUUCAUCACCAGUACAAUAAACAAUGCUACAUAAAAAUGCGUAUUAUAGCAAAAUACACGGCAUUAGGCAUUACGAAAACACUCUUUCCAUUUGAUGAUUUGGUAAAAACCAAAGUAGCAUUUUAUGUGAUCAACGAAUUGCUUAACAAACACACCUUGCAAGUUCCAAGAAAGCGUGAAUCAUUCGGAAGUUUAUUUUAUUUUCGAAAAUGUAAUGCUGUCAAGAAAAUUCAAAUGUAAACCACAGUGAACAGUGUUGCGAGAACAAUUAAGGAUUCAUGCACACAAUCAACCCGACUCGACUCGUGCAGCCAAUUUCAGAGAUUUUUCCUGUUUAAAGGGGGAAAAAAUAAUUGAUGACUAGGCCAUGAAGGACAACUGACAAGCUAGUGAAACCUUUUCCUACAGUUUCGCAGGUAUCAGAAAAGGCCAUUUGAAGGACCAACUGGAACAUCAUCACCCAUGCAUUUACAGCCUCGGUUCCACAACUUUUGUUUGAAAACUAACCAAAUGCAAGGUUAUAGAUGAUGCCCUCCUACCUGCUACAAGUUUUUUUCCCAUUACACAUCCUUGCUAUUCUGAGCAUCUGCUCAGUUCGUAUUCCAACAACUUGCAACCAGCGUCACAUGAAGUUAUGAUUGAGGAGACAAUUCUCCUCUGUAAGUCUUUGAAAUCCAUUGCAAGCUUUACAUCCCAACUGCAACUGUCCCUGAGAAGUGGUGAGACCUUCAGAAAUUUGAAAUGCAUUUCAACUUCUGGAGGUUGCAUAUUACAAGCUGACUGCUACUUACCUGUCAUCAAGCUCUUCUCCACCGAGGGACUCCAUCAUACCUUCAAAGGUAGAGCGAAGGUCGUUGAGUAUUUCAACUUCAAUUUCCAGGCUAUCCUGCAUGGAGAGAUAAUGAUGCAGAGCCAAGGAUCAGGCUUACACGCUGACAAGGGUCAUGCAAAGAGCUAGAGGAGGACCAUUUGACAAUUACAAAGUGGAAAUGCAGAUGAAAAAUGAAGGACACUUUUGGCUUGGAAUUACGUGGGUCUUUGUUCGUGAGAUAGGCCCCCGAGCCCUUCGAAAGUGAUCAAGCAAUGGAGGUGCCAAACCAUAAUUGAAAAUCCCAUUGUUCCUUGAGAACCAGGUGCCCCGCACCAUGUGACUGUCCCAAUCAGACAUGCGCCCUGCAUCCUCACAAUCUUCAUCUUGGGCAAUAUCAAUAUCUGUCACAUACAAGGAACUAAGUAUAAAAGGAGGAUAAUCUAUAUGCGCUUCCAAGAUAUAUGUUUAUCUCAAGUCAAAAUGAACAGCAAAUUGUAUGUUCAUACAAGAUUUCUGAAAUGCAAGGAAAUGCACAAAAGUAAACUCAAUUAUCUUAUGGCCUUACCAAGCGGAAUAACAUCAUAAGGAUUUUUUUGUCGUGGCAAAAAGCCAUAAAAAGUAAGUAAAUGUGAGCUGGAGAAAUUUCCAUAGGUAAGAAAGCAUUGCUCUCCUGCAUUGCAAGGCCUUGACAAAGGAAAUUUUACAGAAUCUGUCAAUGGAUCUACUUUCCCAUAGUGCGUUAUGUGUGGACACGUCUGUCACAGAAAGAAACACAGGUAUAAGCAGAAAAAUAAGAUAAUCAAUGAAAAGCAAAGCAUUGUGUCUGGGCACCAAAAGCCAGUGGCUACUGCUUUUGAGAGAGUAUCUGAGCAGGCAAUAAAAACACAUUUUUGGGGAAAGCAUAUUAAAUGAGGGGAAGGAGUAGAUUGUCGAGUCCAUCCAGGGAAUGCUAGAAGCAGAAACCCGCCCCCCCCCCCCCAAAAAAAAAAAAAAACACUUUUUCUUUGGCGGUGCUACAGCUGAAUUUGUAGGUUCUCUUUCUAUGGCCUUCUUUUUCUAAUAAGAUGUAUUAUGUUCUUGGUUGCCAAAUCUAAAUUAAUAUACUCAAGUAAAAGAGAGGAAGAAAAGCAGGAAAACUAAAAUUCUGACAGACUGAGUGGUUCAGGAAUCCAGCAACAGGAAUUAAGCAGGUCCUUAGCUUUCCAUCACUGAACAUAAUCUUCAUGCUGUUGGAGUACCAGAGCUCACAAGCCAGAGAAACUGCUCCCAUGUAUAAAGCUCUGGUGGAAAUACGUCAGGAUAAUUCUCAUAUAGGACAGGAAAUAACUGUUCAUAUUGGUUACGUAAGUGCUGCAAGGACAUAGGAAACAAACAGAAAUCAUUCACAAAAACGUAACAAGAAAUGCUUACUGACAAUUCAAAUUCAUGGAGGUCAGUGUUGCAAUAUUCUCGCCUAUAUGCCACAAUGAAACACUUUCAUUCAAAAUUUCUGUAACUUCAUCCUAAGACACAGAUUAAUGCCAUUUUUCAUUACUGAAAUAACACAGAGGUAACAGUGUUAGUUCAAUGAAUCAAGUCCAGAAGUUAGAGAGACUUCACAAAGACUAAAGUUAACUUGGGAUAGAUAGAGGUUUCAUAUGAACAUUGUACUGGAGAAAUUUUGAAGAAAAGGCUUUGCACAAGAAAGUUUAGUGCAUGAUAGUUUCAAUUCCACAUAUUUUUUCCAUUCUUUUUUAAAUGUGAUUUAUGCUUGGGUUCACUUGUGCAUGCAACGAAGCAAUCAUCAAAUAAAUCUCCAUAGAAGAAUCAACUACAUGCAUUAAUCUAAAGAACUCCAUAAAAUUCUAAAAGUGAUUAUGCUGUUUAAUCAAUAUGCAUGUAGAAUUAGUUAUCAAGAACACACUAAGCAAGCCUAAAAGUUUGCUGACUGAAAUAGAUUGCAAGGGAGAUAACCUCUUUUGCUUGUACUAUCUCUUCCAAUAAGAUAGUUCCAUCUAAAGCCAUGAUGGCAUUGACCCCCAAAGCUCAAUCCUGUACAUGUAGAUGCAUUAUGAGAAUCAUGUCAAUGAAAGGGUGAAAUUGAAUGCAUAGUUGAAAUUAGGACUUGAAUUCUAUAGCCAGAAAACUUUAGGCAAUUAUGUAGUUCAAGAAACUUAAUAAAGUAGACAUGAAUACAGAAGUUUAUAAAGAAAAGGAAACCUGUAUUAAACACUGCAGGCAACGUAUCGAAAUAUAACUUGAAAUUGGAAUUGCUGUUGUGUUUUCCUUCAUGCUCCAUAACAAUAGCAUUGUCUCUGAAGAAAUCCCUCAAUUUUCUCCAAUAUUGGAAACUGCCUUAAAGUACAAUGACUAAUGACAUCACUACAUAUUUUAGAUUCUGGCUGCAAAGUUUAAAAAGUAGUUAAUAGCUCAACUGGAAUAAAAUGUGAAGUUGACAAAGAGAACUUAAGCAGAAUGGCUUCUACUCUGUUGACAGAAAGUUGCCGUAGCACCAUAUGAUGCAUUAGUUUUUGCAGAAAGAAAAUUCAAGCACAUACAAGUCCAUCAGGCAAGAGAAAUUAUGUUUCACAAGAUGCAUAUUUAAGAGAAGAAAAAGCUUCUGCUAAAGAUGCACAUCAACAAUAGGGCUUAAAAGUGCAAAAUGUACCAUGUCAGUUUCAAAACCAGGUCUCGGAAAUGACCAAAGACACAGGGACCUCUAGAGCAAUGUCCCCAAUUUUCAGAUCUUCUUUAGCGAUAGCUCCUCUUCCAGCUCCUUCACAUCUGUACCGUCAAUAAAAAAGUGAAAAUAAAUAACCCUAUAUAAAAUUUUCAAACUUCCUAACUUCCAUGAUAUAUACAACAAAAUUCUAGCUGUGAAACACAGUGUUCCAAGAUGAUUCGAUAAUGUUGGAAAAAAUUCAAUGGCUAAUUAUGGCAAAACCUUACAAGCUAUCUCCAAUUUUGUGUGGAGACCAUUACUUUUGCCCCACUGCAGUAGACAUUGCUCUUUUUCACAACUGGAGUCUUGAACAACUUUAGUUUCCUCUCCAUACUUGUGCCAAGUUCAUCUAUCAUAUUAACUGUUGCAUUGCGUAUCUCUUGCAGUGAAUUUUUAUUCUUGACUUUACCAUUGGAAAUUGAACAAUCAAUGAGUCUAAGAACAGAAUGUAGAGCUUCCAACUCAUUCCUUGGACUAUUAAAAUCCACCAGAUUAGAGAAAUCUGCUCCCCCAAAAUACAGUUUCAAUCUGCAAUAUAACAUGUACAUUGAUAUAGUGUCAAUUGCUUGCACUUAGAAAAUGCAUUUGGGUAGUGUGUAGUAUGAUGUUGCUCAAGAGAAGGCUUGGUUCAAUAAUUUGAUGAAACAAAAUUGACAGAUGACAGUUACGAAUUUCCAAAGAUGACUUCACACACAAAAAUGGACUUUAGACUAUACCAAGUUUCGAAUUGAAAAAAUUAAAUAUUUGCUUCAUCCUUAAUGCAAUCCUAAUAAAAUAUUCAUAAAUGACAUUCAAAUAAGCAGCUGCUCUAAGACAUUUCUGGAUAGGGGAUUAUCUACCCAUAUUACAAUCACCUUGAAUGUCUAAGGCAAAAGCUUGGUAAGUGCAUCAAGUACUGAAAAAGUUAUAGUUUCCACCACAAGAUUGAAAAAUCAACCAGGAUGACAGUUCAUAGCAGAGCAUUUCAGUGGUUGACUCCUGGAAGCUAAGGCAAAAGUGCUAACUUGUAGAUACAUAAAAUAUAGUUGCUUGUGAUAGAGUCCUGUGAAGGAAAUAGCACAAAAGAUUACCUCAUUCAAGUUUAUGACUCUGGCACACUUAAGCAUCAUGUCCAGGACAUGCUUCAAGUGAUCAGGAUUGGAGGCAAUAUUCAAGGCAACACUUCCCUUUGAUCAAAGCCUACGUCUUCCAGUAAUUUCUGUCACAUGCUAAGAGUAAAAUUAAAAAGAAAAGGAGAAAAAUCAUAAUCAUUAACCAAACACUCAUUAUGAAGUUCUUUUUUUUUUUUCUUUUUUUUUUUGGGCAAGGGCGGGGGUGCCUAUUUAUAAGGGUGGGAAAUGUGCUACAAAAAAAAUGCAAACCUUUUUCUUCUGGAACAAAGGAUCAUUCUCAGAAAGAUCAAGAACAAAUGAGAUCUCUCAUCAGUCUCUGCAGUAUUGGGGGAUAUAUACGCCUUCACAAUAAAAGAACAGUAGAAAAGUAAGUUAAUUUCCAACCUAAGCAACAGCAAAGACACCCACUUCACAUGUAAGAAGUAAUUAAUUCACACCUAUUGGUUAAAACAGAAAAAAAAAAUAAGGGAUGAAGGGAGAGAUGGAAUUGCAGAAUAGCCCUAUUUACUCCUUUUCCAUGAUGGAAAUCUGUUUUUAUCACUUUUUCUCUCAUCAUUAGCGUUCUGGCACUUCCCUUGCACUCCACUUCAUCUUUCAAUACAAUCAAACAAAUUCUGGAUUCAUUACAUAUGCACACUUGUAUUUGUAAGUUACCAAAAAAUGGCACAUUUACUUAAGGCUUCACUAACUAGAUGCACCAUAUAAUUCAGCUUCCACUUUGUUAUAAGGAAACGAAUAAGGUUAAACAGGGAAGAUAUUAGAUUAAUAAGAAAGGAUGACUAUCUUUAGGGGAAAAAAAAACAAGGAUGAUUUCACCGUAGCAUACCCUCUGGGCCAUCAUUCAAUGAACAUCUAUACUGGACUACAACCAAGAAAUCCCCCAUAACUUCUGAAGAAGCUUUUUUACAGUUAGCCCGUUUGAAAAUAAUUCACGAGGUCAAAGAGGCAGCUCUACUUUUUCCCAUUUUAUGAACUAUUGGAUACUGGAUAUGUCUAUAUUGAAUCAAGAAUUAAAGGGAUGAAUUUAGGUGCUGAAGUUUACCUGGUUAACCUCCAUUAACGCCAAUUGGAUGGAUUAGUCCAGCGAAUGGAAUUGAUGACUGGUAAGCCAGCAAAACUGAAGAGGCUGUGGCCGGAAACUGGGGAGCUGGGGUUUUAGCGAGGUUUCUGAGUAGGCAACUUGUUUGAGUACUCCCUCCCGAGAAAACAACCCGUUUCCAGUUUUUUUUUUUUUUUUUUUCUUUUUGGGUACGGUCGGUAAUAAUUUAUCCUACACCUGCGAUCGGUACGAUGGGUAGCUCAUUCUAGGGGCUCAACUGAGCCAAUGAAGAGAUCGAACCCAAAAACUAAAUUACCAUCAAAUCAAAUCUACUUUUAUUUCUAUUCUAACCUAUUUUAAAGGGUUCAACUGAGUCAAUAAGAAGAAUCGAUGAAAACUGAAUCAUCGAAUCAAUCGAAUUGUACUAUAUACUUGUUUGAAUUUUUAAGAUAAUUACGUAACGUGACAAUUGGUGGUGACCUCUAGCUGGUGGUUAACUGUUUCCAGUACUAGGAAUGUAAGAACUAAAAGUUAAUAGAGAUUGGAAAACAGGAAAUUAUAAAAGCAACGACAUUGGAUAUAUUAUGGAGUUUGUUCUCAUUGUAUCAAACGUCUUGUUAACUUUUGUUUCCCCUUACGUCUUAAGAUUUCAAGUUUAAUCAUCAGUCUCCAAAAUCGUUGUUAGCUUAUUAUCCAAUAGUGAAAUUUUUUCACUUCAAUUAGAUGAUGCUUAUUCCUUUAUAUAUAUAUAUUUUUUUUUUUGAGGGAGUGCUUAUUCUAGUUCAAUUCAUUGACCAAACGAAGUAAUAUAUACAUAUAUGUGUGUGUAGAUAUAGAUAUAUGUAUUAUAUGUAUACGUGUGUGUGUGUAUUGUGAAUCUACUUUGCAAUUUGGGAAUUCAGUUUUGUUAGCAUUUUUUUUUAUGGUAACAUUUUUCUUCUUCGUAAAUAGUUUUUGGUGACAGUAGAUAGAUUACGACAAAAUAGAAAUGCAAUGGUUCGCUACAUCCUCAAAGGCAAGCCAUCGGGAUUCUAAUGGGCUCAUGUCUUUGUAAAAUGCGGAUGUGUUGUUUAACUUUCAGUUGGGCCAUUCAAAAAAAGUAAUCCAGCGCAUGGGCUGAGCAAACAGUUUUAAAAUUAGUGCUUACCCAAAAUUCUCAGCCAUUCUGUAGCUUUCUUCAUAAGCCAAUUGCAAAUUUCUCUUCUUUUUUUUCCCCUUUUUGAGCUUGAGUCCAGACCUCGUAAUUAUUCCUUUGAGCCUCCAGCACAAUCGAUCUGUUCCGAACUAGAACCCAACUGAGUCCCCUUUUUUUUCCCUUCAAGUUCAAAGGAAUGCUCAAACCUUACACAAGAGAAGAGGAGAGUGGAAAACAAAAAAAAAAAAAAAAAAAGAAUGUUUGAAAGUCGAACCAAGAACCUCACAAUUAUCAAAAUAAUAUUCCUACGAGUUAAAUUUGGUCACAAGGACAACUUUGCUAAGGCCCUUCUUGUUAUUCCACUUCCAUGACAAAGUUGAGGAAGUCCAAUAGUCACAACCAAUGGAGCAGUAUGGUGCUCUAGAAGUGGCUCUAACUCUGUUCGACGUAAUAUUUGUUUGCCCACGCAAAUUUGGAUUGUUAUUUUUUGCAAAAAAAAAAUUUAUACUUUUCAAUUAUUUUUUCCACCUCACAUACAUUACAUUAAGUCGUUACGGUACAUAUAUAUUUUUUAAUAAAAACUUUAGAAAAUAGCUAUGCAAAGGGGUCUUAGUUUCAGCUGAUAAUCACUCAGAUAGGGAUGGUCCAUGCCAGAUGUAAGGAAAAAUUGGUACAUGCACCAGCCUAACCCCUUCUGAACUAAAAUGCAUGCUUAGAUGUAAAGUGUAGUCGAAGUGGAAUUACAUUCCGUAUUUAUCACUGUUAUUAACAAUUAUAUUACUAUCAGUAUCCAGUCAAAAAUCUUUCUCAGCAAGCGAAGAACCUCCAAUGUAAUUGGAGAUCCAGGACCAUUCAAUCAUCAAUUAGCUCCAAGAAAUAGUUGGGGUAAUUGAAAUACAUAUAUAUAUAUAUAUAUAUAUAUAGCCUAAGUAUAUGCUUAACAUAAUUGUACUGAUUUUCAUGCUGGUGAAUCCAAUAGCUUUGCUGACUUAUCAACAUAUUCUUUCUAGUCAAAGAUCCUUGUCUCCAACUUCAAAAAGCAGCCUUGCCAUUUGCACGAGAGAUACAAAGGGCACCAGCUAAAAGCUUCUAGCGAUGCAUGAAAAAUGGGGGUGGCCACUUUUCAAUUCAAAGCGUGAUCAAACUUGGUAAUUUUUAGUAAUGGAUGAUGGAACCAUAAGACCCAUAUACCCAAUCGACUCUUCUUGGUUUUAAUGUUAGUUGGGCCUGUACUCGGUUGCUUCCUUGUUUGGAAAGCCAUUUUUCACCAAAAAAAAAAAAAAAAGUUUUAUGUUUUUCGUAAACACGUUUUUCAAUCACCUUUUUAACUUACAUACAUCAAAAAUCACAUUUUCUGUAAAAACUCUAGAAAAUUGCAACCCAAAUAGGUUUUUUUCGGUUAUGUCAAAUUGACCAUCAAGAAAUCUGAUGAAAAACAAGAUCUUGAGAAUACAUCAGAUUAAUUUUUUGAAGAGCAAGGGGUUGCGUACCUUGUAAUCAUUUAUUUCUUCCUUUGUUGUUCUUUUAGUACAGUUCCAUUUGGAUUAACUAUUUUUUGAGUGUUUUGAAAUAUUUUACUGUAGUAAAGUAGAUUGAAAAUUUUUACUGUAUAUGAGAUUGUUUUUAAGCUUGUUUUUUGAUAUUUCUGAGGUUGUUUUUUUUUUAAAUUUUUUGGUGCUUUUGAGGCUGUUUUUGGUGUUUCUUAAAUUAUUUUUGUUUGUGUAUUAUUGUCGCAUUAUAUAUAAAAAUUUUGUUUUUAAAAAAUGACCUAUCCAAACGGAGCAGCAGAUGAAACAAGCUUAAAUUGAAGCACAAGUCGCAAGCAAACAAGAAUAUUUUAAAAUAGUGUUUCACUUUAAAAAAAAAAAAAGCUAUAAUUAUAUUAGGAUGAUAAAUAAUUGGGAAAGAAAAAAGGUCGUCCAACGUCUAUAAAAGUAAAGUAUCAAUUACCUUUCUCUAGAAAUUUACUCCAAUAGUUUUUGGACAAAUAUUUAAUUUCAUGAUCUUUGGAGAGUUAAACAUCUGAAUAUUUGUGAGGUGGGUACCGAGGAGUGAGAAAGGAUUUGUCUAUUCAAUAGGUGCUUUUCUCAGGUGGCUCACUGGACUCAGAAAAAGAACCAGACAAUCAAUUUAUACUAUUGUAAAGAAUAUUUAUCUUUCGUCCAAAAAGCAAAUAGAGACAAGUAUUUCAAAAGGGUGGAUUAUAAAUAAAACGUAAAGUAUCCGAGUGAAAAUGUGGCAAAUACAUUGUUUGGUUCAGAAAAGGAUGUUUUCUGUCUUUAGCAAGUCAAGGCUAUCUUAGGCCAUCGCAGAAAGUGAUUACUAUGACCUCCUCACGUGGAUAAAAAUACGACGUACGGAGUUGGGAUUACGACACCGUUGUUUGGUUCAAAAUGUAUUUCGAAUUGGUCGGAAUUUAUUCUUCAGUCUUUAAGCAUUACACGGACCCGGAACAAAAGAUCAAGAAAAAGACAACAACAGCAACAAUUUUGCAUAAACUAAAAUAUCAGAGCUACCCUCUUUUGUGGACUUUCUAAAAGUUCCAAGAAGAAAGCAACUGAUAAAUUGGAUCUUGACUAUUCGUUCAAAUGAACAACAGUUUUGUUUUAUUCCUUAUAUCUCUUGGUGCUAUAACUUUCUUUUUUUUUUCCCUUCACAAAACAAAAACAAAAAAAAAAACAACUUUUUAAAAGUUGAUGAUUAAUAUACAAUUAUCUAGAAAAAGGAUGAUUAGAUGAUAUGGAAGAAGGGAGUGUAACCGAGAGGUCUUAAAUUUAAAAUCUCAUAUAUAUAGAAGAAAGUCUAUAUAUGGAAGAAAGUUUAUAUGGCAAGAAUCGAAACCACAUAAUAGAAGCAAAUUUAAAUCACUUUCUUCCAUAUAUAGAAGCAAAUUUAUAUGAGGUCUUAAAUCAAUUGAGAGUUUUUUUUCUUUGAUUUUAUUCUUUUUGAAGAAAAGAAAAUUUGAUCGCCAUUGACUGUUUGAGAAUACAUUGAUUAAACAAGUGAAGAGAAGUGGUGCCCUUUCUUUGCCAUAUUUUAUGCAGCUGUUACUUAUCUUAGGUCUUUCUUUACCAUAAUAAACGUAUUAAAUACUUUCCAUCGAUGGGAACUUUCGUACACGAAUCAAAUUUGGCAAUUGAAUGGCCAGCAUCGCAUAAAAUCGAACCUUUUUGUUGCAUGGAUUCUCACCCCUCUUGACGGGCUGUUGAUUGGUUUCCACUGAAAGUGGAAUGAUUUCCAACUUUGUUGACUAGAAAAUAUUAAACAUCAGGAAUCGAAGAACAUUAAGGUUAGAAUGUGGAGACCGAAAAGAAAUCUGGUGAGGAACAGAAAAAAAAAAAAAAAAAAAAAACUCUCAACCAAGAAAGAGCUAAAACUUUGAGUGAACCGUGCAAGCUCUUACGUUAAUUUCAUGGCUUAACAUGCAUGGUUAGUGCUGGACAAGAUCAAGCAACGAAAUCUAACCAACAAUCAAUGGAUGUCUACCACAUUGCCUUGCCCUGGGGAUUCCUCCCUAGUCCCUUAGUCCCUACACCAAAGAAGUUGCUAAAAAGUCAUAACGUUACGUAUCUUAUUAGAGAGUCCGACUAUUGGGAUAAUAGAGAUUGAAUGGUUUGAAAACCAAAACAUCGUGUUUUCAUUCUUUGAUAUAUAUUUAACCUCCUUUUUUUUUCCCCCUUUAUGGGUGUUUUCAAAAGCUUACUGAAUUUUCUUCUGUGUUCUUGCAUCACAGUAUUGGAGGAGGUCUGGUCUGAUAGUUCGAAAAAGUUACAAUAGCAUGCACAAUAUCUUACAGCAACUUUAUAUCUCUUAACACACAAAAACUAAUUAAAGCAUCAACAUCAUUUAACAUGUUUUUUAAACUCAAUCAUCAAAUCCAAUUUACAAUUAUUGAACUUAAUAACUACUCAAUUCUAAAUUAGAGAGCAAUCCACAAUUCACAAUCGAUAACUACUCUACCGCAUGGGGUUGGCGGCGGCCUAAUUUGCUGUAAACACAUGGCUUAGCUAUCAUGCAGCAUUGUCAACCUGGUCUGGACGUACGCAUCAAACAUCUGGCGCAUUAUAAUCCAUUCACACAAUUGGAAUUUUGGAUAUUAAUAAUCUUACCCUUCUCCAUCCAUGAAAAUAGAAACUAAUAAUAAUAAUUCCCUUUGUCUCCUAAUACGUUCAGUCCUUCAUCCCAUGCGCUCUUCCUAAGAUAUUUCUUAUGGGCAUGUGUCAAUCUUUUCAAAGACAUUAUUGACUCCUGCUUGGCAUUGAUUACCAUCUUAGGCAGGAAUCUAGCAUAGUACGUGCUAGUAGAUAUCUCCCUUGGAUCUUUUUCCUGCUGGAGUUAGAUUGGUGUCUCGUACCAUUCAAUUUUAAAAUUAGUAUAGAUUUGUGUUUGGAUUGCAUUUUUCAGAUUUUUUUUUACAUAAAAGUUACUGUAACGAUUUGAUAUAUGUAAGAUAAAAAUGUGAUUAAGAAAUUUAUUUACAGAAAACGUAAAAAAUUGCCGUCCAAACAAAGUCCGCGAGUCUUUACCUUGCCUCGCCAAACUAAGUACUGCUCUUGUUCUUGAGGCAAUAUAUAUUUUUCUGUUUGGUUCUACUGGCAAAAGAUUAUAGUUAAAAAACAGAAGGGAGAAUUAGACAAAUCAUGCAAUGGGAAUAUUACCAUUAAUUCGUGGCUUACACAUUGAAGGGGUUGAAUGUUAAAAAUUGGUCGGUUAAUAAGUCAAUUCUGAAUAAUUGAUCUACUGCUACUUAAUUGUCAUGAACUCAAUAAAGGAAAUGUGAAAACAGAAAGAAUCGUGAAAUGACAAUGUUGUGGCUAAUCACCAAUGAGGCAGUUUGGGCCAAGCAAUAAUGAAAUCAAGACCGUGUGCAUGGGAAAUGACAAACAGAAAGCUUACAUGGGAGUCAAUUACUAUCAACCCAAUCUAUUGCCGGCAAUUUGAGGUAAAAUCUCAUGUCACUUCUGUUUAUGGAGGUUUUCCAUCAAAUAAUUUAUGGAGGUUCGGACCUUCACUUUCUUUACUUUUACUUGGCUCCUUUUUUUUUUUUUUUGAUGGUUAUAUCAUUCUUGACUUGAAAACGAUUUAACGUGUGUAGCUCCCUUCGAAAGUGUUUUGUUUGGUUCAAAGAAGGCUCCCAAGCUUAUAGGAAUAAGCAGAAAGAUGAAGAUUUGAGAAUUGAAAACUAGAUCUUUUGGAUCACUUAGAUAAUGUACUGUGACUAGGUUAGGUUGAGGUCUCGGACGAAAACUCUAACGAGUAACCAUUAGGAGGAAAAAAACUUUCGUUACAACUCUUUAGGAGAGACUUAAAUAAAAAAUAGAGGUUUGAAUUCAAGAUUUAUAAUUAUAGAUGCCGUUUUUUGACUCAGAUAAUAUAAUACAUUAUAUGGUUUGACGUAAAUCGCCUAGAGGUGAAAAUAAGUAUAAACUCUGGUCAUAUCAAAUUGAGUGUGAUUUAUAUUUGUCAAACUCGAACUUGAGUGAGAAGUUAAUUAAACUUUUAAUGUAAAACUCAACCUCAAACUCCAACUGAAGUUGAGCCAAACUAAGUUGAAAUUACAACGAAGUAAUAAUUAUGAUAUUUUAAACUGGAUAGGAGAGUCAUUUUAUUCUAAUAAAUAAUCAAAUUAUGAGGAUAUACAUGUAAUUUCACUGCUAAUAGAAUAGCCAUUCAAAAUAUAUAGAAUCAAGCCAGCUGCACGACGAGUCAGCAAGUCUAGUAUGGCGAUACAUAAGUUCAACUCAACAUUCUCCACAAUUUAAUAAUUUAGCUUUGACGGAGUCCGCUUGAUUCGUUUGCAGUACUAAAAUACCCUUGAUUUAUAAUGAACAAAUGAGAAAUAAUUGUGAAGUUUAAUUAGAUCAAUCCACAUUAAACACAACUCAAUAAUUUAAGCAGCAAAUUAUUGAGCGCACAGUUGGAGAUGUAAUUGCACACAAUCUCAUCCCAGUCAUGUUCCACGGUCAAUGACUCAAUAUAUUGUUCAUGCAACCGACCCUACCAAAACUCCACUUCGCGGGUGAUACAAACAAAAAACUGAAAAAAGCGGAUUUCUUUCACGUUCAGCCUCAUAAAAAAAAAAAAACAAAAAAAAGAAAGAAAGAAAGACAGGUCUUUAUUUAUUUUAGAAGUAGCUGUCAAGUACGUCGGCGAUUAUACACCGGACUCAAAUCGGAAAAUGACAAUCGGCCUUUCCAACUCAUAACAAAGUCCCAAGAAAUAAAAGAAGACGUCAAUUUUUGUCAUCAUAAUAAGAAGACUUUUCAAGCCGCUUUUGUUUGUAAAUCUUUCUUUUACCCAACAAGAAAUCUUCGGAUUUGCUUGCGUGUUCCUACUUUUUUCGUUCAUAGUAGCGUAAUUAUUAUGACCCCUCUAAUUCUAUCCAUUCAAACAGUUGUCUGUUUUUCUACUUAUGCAUCCUUGCUUUGCUUUUUCAAAAAAAUGCUGCCAGACAAAAUUAAAAGCCUUCGGUUUUUCUGUGCUUGGUUCCCUUUUGGCUUGCAUUCAAAUUGUGGUGGUAGUACAUUUUCCUUGGCAUCUCUAUUGGCCCCUUUUUGGAAUUUUUGGCUGUACAACGUCUUGAUUUACGUUCUUCUUCUUCCCCCUUUUUUUUUUUUUUCUUUUUUUGUUUUCCCAUUUGCCACAUGUUUAAUCACGAAUUGAUGCAAUUGAUAAAAUCCUUAAAUGGGGAGGGGAGGGGUGGAUACAAAUUAGUCAGAGAUGAGAUCAAAUUAAGUUUUUUUUUUUUUUAAAAAAAAAAGAGGCAGUCGGUGGUUGGUGUUUUAAAAGUAAAAUUAGCUACAGGAGUUGAGUUCAAAAUUUGUGUGUUAAAACAAGAUUAGGCCAUGCCAACUUAGAAAAAGUCUAGUUGAAAAGGCAACAAGUCGUUAAUUAGGUUCUCAGGAAAUACGACCAAUGACCAAUGAAACAUUCAUUGCGUAAAAAUAUUAUUAUUAUACUAUUCCUAAUGCUAAUCUACUUUGUACUGCAUUUUCAAGAUAUGCAUCCAACUAUCCUGAAAACGAAAUGAAAUGAAGUGGGCAAGUAGUUAAAGUAGCUACAUCAUCAAGCUCCCCCAAAGCCCCACAACCACAAGCCACUCACUACCCAAGGGGUGUUCACCGGAAAUUGGAUAUUCAGGUUCAUGAUUGUCCAAAGUUCAUGAUUGUCCAAAGAAGUUUUGAUCCUAGUUGAUUUUGAACAGGAAACACGAAAAAAAAAAAAAGGGAAAAUUGCAUAAACCUUCCCUGAGAUUUCUGAUAUUUGCACUGACCUCUCCUAUCAAUUUUGAAAUAGUAUUAACCUCUCCUAGAAAAAGUUGGAGCCAAUUUAAAAGGUAAAAGUGUGUGAAUUUACUAGAGUACCCCCAAUUGUAUUUGACUUUAUCAGAUGAAAGGUUUGAGUACUUUCAUCAAAACCAACGUUUAAUUUGUUAAAUAAAUUAAACUAAUCAAACUAUGUUUGCAUAGUUAAAUUAAUUAACUAAUUAAUCUAUUUUUACAUAGAUAAACUAAUUAACUAAUGAACUAAUUAUCUAAUUAACUAUUAACUAAUUAACUAAUUAUCUAAUUAAUUAAUUAACUAAUUUAUGUUUAUCAAAUUAACUAAUUAACUAAAGCUGUUGUCUGUCUAAAGCUAACAAACUAUUUGCAUGUUAAAUUAAUUAACUAAUUAACUGCUUAACUAAUUAACUAACUAAUUAUCUAAUUAAUUAAUUAACUAUUCGUCAUGUGAGAUUUUCUAGCAUCUUUUCGUUCGGUUUUUCUUCCCCCUAUCGUACGAUAUACCACCAAAUAGAGAGGCUAAAUCGAUGGUUUUCAUUGCCUGAUGUCCAUACUUGGGAUUGUAGCUCAUUAACCAUGCACGUUUUCGUUAAUUUUCCUCUCAGCGACCGUUAUGCUGAUAAUGGCUCAGUUAUUAUUAUAGAUGCCCACAUGUUAAAGUUGUUCACCAGCGCUUGGUACGUACGGCAACUAGAGUGCAAUUUGUGCCAUACUCUUUUGCAUCGAGUAUGCCAAUAUAUAGCCAUGGCACAUAACUUUUCCGAUCUAUUCAUUUGCCCAAAUGAAAUUUAGUGAGCUAACUGCUGUUGUACUAAUUAGAAAUGAUUUAAUCCACAAAAUAAAGAGGCAAAACUUCAUUAGUUCUAUUUUCUGAUUUGAAGAAAUAAAAUGUCAUCAUAGGAAAAGAUCGAGAGAGGUACUAGCCUAAGAGCCUCUAUGAGAGUCCAGUGUUUUUCUAGAGCUGUGCUGCAUGUAAAAAUCUUAGAAGGCACUAGACUUGAACUUCAUCAAAUUAAGUGCUUCAACUGAAAAGCUGUCUCAAUAUAUAAUUGACAUAUAUUAUCAUAAUGAAGUUGCUGAUAAGCGAGUAGUUCCUUUGUUUUGUCAGUUUUUCAUCACACAAAAGUUUCAAACACAUAAUCAAAUAUUAACUGCGUACGUACAAUGUUAUUAAUUAGGCACCCUGGUGCCUAGGAGAAGUUUGCCAAACGCCUGACACGGCCGCACAAGUUAAUUGAUUACCUGCCAAAUCAUAUUUAAGGAGCUGCCCGAAGUUGCAAGUUCUAAAGUUAAAUACAGGUCCCAAGCUUCCUAGACCAUCUCCUCCUCUAGUUGAGUACAACCUAUUAAGUUUCCUACAAAAAAAAAAAAAGGGUCCCAAUCUAAUUAAAUCAGUGCCAUCCUACUCAUACAGAUUAUAAUUCUCAGCAACAAAGCAUCAGACUGUUAUUAGGACGAGGAUCAUAAGGUUAUUGUCAUUUAAUUAGUGCUAGUUAAUUUACUUACUAGAGAAAAGCUGAAUGGUAGGGAAGGAUAAGUUAUUCUGCCAUCUAAAAUUUAUGUAAUUAUUUAAAUUCCAUGUAUGCUCUCGAUAUUCUCUUAUAACAAAUGCAGACCAAAUGUGUAUCUUAGUGUACAUUCCUUCAAAAAAUAAAAAAAAAAUGCUCAUUUUACUGUGGUGAAAUGUAAACUUACAUGCAUGCAGGAGUUCCUCAAUUAAAGAUUGUCUUUCUCAUUUAAUCCAAUUUUUAGUUGACUAAAUGAUUGUCGUACUCCCCGCAUUCAGAUCCAAUUGAAAGACAAAUUAAAACGACUCUUCAUUUAGCCAUUUUAUGCUUUUCUCCUAAAUUGUUAAAUUGACAAGAGCCCUAAAAUAUAUUGGACGUCCAUGCUGCUUGCUGGACAAUUAUGGGUUCAAAUGGCAAUAAUUAUGACCCAUAAACGUCCAUCAUAUAUUAAAGCAAACGACAAGGUAGAAUACCUUCAAGGAAGAAAAAAAAUGAAGUUAAAAAGAGAGAAGUGGUUUUGCUCCAAAAUCACAUAAUAAGCUAGGACAUGGAUGUCCCCGACCGUCAAGGAGUCAAACUAGCGAACCCUUCGCCGACUGCAGCGCGGUCGUCUCCAGAGUCCAUGCAGCUCCAAUUUACAAGACUUUUCCCCCAUUUAUAUAAGUUUUGUAAGAAGUUUUUGAUGCGUUAAACCACACUUUGUUUAUGUUCAAACUUCCCCAUCUUGCUUUUUCUUGACGCAUUAUACAAAUUUACAGUCACAUUCCCAAUACAAUAUUACUCGAGGACAUGCGUGCCUCAGCGUACCUGAUGCAAUAUGUCUCUAUAUUUAUGUGUCAUAAGGAAAUAGUCAAGAUGAAAAAGGGACAACCCCCGACCUCUUUUUCACUCACAAGCAAACAUCCCCUUGCUUUCUCUCAUACCACAAAGUCUAGUGAUCAAGUGGCAAAAAUUUUCUAACAAUUGCAAGGUUUGAGUUCGAUCUUCUGUACAAAAUCAGUUGCGCCAUAUAGGAAACUGUACAAAAUCAGCUAUGAUACUAAUAAAAGAGGAUAAGUAUAGCUAGUUCUGAGCUCUGAUUUUAAAAUAUGAGGGAGGCCUAGACGUCCACACUAAUGAUGCUUUCAAUUCCUCGGCCCCGGAUCCUAUAAGCGGCCAACUGUAACAAUUUAUGAUUCUUAGCUACCAGAAGAGUAGAAAACUUCAUACGGAGCUGGACAUACAAACACAUAACUACAUCGUACUUAUAAAAUGUUUGCCUAAAAUCUUUUACAAGAUCCAAUCAGAUCAGGGUCUGAAAAUCUAGUUGAUACUUGCAUCAUAGCUGUCUUCAUAAUGUAUUUUACACAUGUCGUUGUGGAAGACUUGAAUCAGAUUUCCAGUGAAUUGAUUUCACAGCCAAUUAAUAGCAACAGCUUCGAAAUUUGAAAUGCGUAGCUAGAGUUUAGGGCGGUUUCAGACACCUUACUGACCAUCACCCGACAUUUGUGCUCGCAAUCUUCUAUAUAUAAUUAUAUAUACACAUUACUGAUUACACACACACACACACACUCAUGCCUCAUCACAACUUCAACAAACACGAACUCUACUUCUACUCAAACUCUCUCUUUUUAUGCCACCUCUAGCUUUAGGCUGAACCCUUUUCUUCAUUUUGUCUACAAGCUUAAAAGCUUGAGAAAAUGAGCAAUCUUGAUUCUCAAAGACAAGAGUCUUUGAAAAUGAGGUGGCAAGAGAGGAGACUCAAGGCAAUAGAAGAAAACCAAAAGAUUAAUCCCACGGCCUCUCCCAACUUCUAUACCAGACUACUUGGUGGUGGUGCAAAUCCAUCACCAUUAAGGGCAAACCCUAAAAACAAUAUCCAAAUGUUUCCUGGUGGUUUUGAUGAUGAUCUUGUUUCGGCAUUGGUGCCACCACUGACUGUUGUUCUUGAAGGCCGUUCCAUUUGCCAUCGGAUUAGCCUUGACAAGCACACAAGCUACCAAAGCUUAGCUAGGGCCCUGAGACAAAUGUUUGUUGAUGGGGAUGCUACUGGAGUCCCAUCAGAUGGUGAACUUGAUCUUUCCAAUGCGAUUCCUGGUCAUCUCAUUGCUUAUGAAGACAUGGAAAAUGAUCUACUUCUUGUUGGUGACCUCAACUGGAGGUGAGUCUCUCUACAACCAGAUCCUAUCAAACUACUGUACAUAGAUGAAUCUUGAAAACUAUCUUAAACUAUACUAAUAUUUUUUCACAUUCAUCCUUGAGAUCCCACAAUUUUUUUUGCAAUGCGAAGUUUUUUUUUUGCUUGGAUAAAUGCAAUGCUGAAGUUAGCUUUCCUAGGAUUCUUGCAGUGAGUAAGAGAAUCCUAAAAUGCACUAUACCUAUUGGGUCUAAGUUUCUAACCGUAUUAUAUUUUUCUUUAUUUAUAUGUUUAAAUCGUUUCUUUCCUCUGGGUAUUGUGCAGUGACUUCGUUAGGGUGGCAAAAAGGAUCAGAAUACUGCCAAUAAAAGCAAAUUCAAGAAAGGGAAAGGUAGAGAACUAGCCAUUGCGGGUUUUGAGAAUUUUGCUUAUGUUUUGGGUGUUAAAAUCAUUUUGAUUUUGCAACGCACCAAAAAAAAAAAAAACAAUUUCUCUAUGCUUCUACCGACUCUGGUAACGUGGAGUGAGGAUGAAACGCUGUUGUGGUCAAAUAUAGUACUGCGUGUUCCUCAAAAUUAACUGAAAGACAUAGUACUAUGUACUUUUUCUGCUGUCAAGUCCAUGAAUAAGAUGAUCUUUGCCCUAAACUUAGCUGCUAGAAGGAAAGUUCAUGAUUUCCAUGCACGGCUCAAAAUUCUUUUUUAUUUUUAAUUUUUUUUGGCUUAUCCAAGGAGAGAAAUAGCAAGGCCACUAAGACAGAGAUGAUUUCUGACAAGUACGUUUUGGUGAUCUAUUACACGGAAAAUUAUAGUCCAUUCACAUGCUGACUCGGGAUGAAGAAUGGAGAAAAACAACCACCAAAGGCUUAAUAAUAAUUGAAUCCCAGAAAGAGAAGAAAAGAAAUUGCAAAUAAAAGAAUAUCAAAGCCUUAGAUAUCAUAUAUGUUUCCCUUGAUAUAUGCUGUUGCUUCUUCUUGCCUACCGGAAUGGACAAUAUUUAUUGAUCGGUACAACCUGAAAGGAUAUUUAAGGACAGAUCAUCUCCAAACCUUUUUUGUUCCAUUCCACAAGAAAGUUUGACUGUGGUAAUUACUAAAACAAAAACAACAAAAGCAAAAAAUGGGGCCGCCACUAAUAAAAGAACCUUGAAAGAUGUGAUAAAACAAGUGGAGGAGCAAGAGUUACUAGCAACCUUCGUGAGUUAAUUAACCGGAAUUAAUUUGAAGUAUAGAACAUGUGAGGUCACCUUACUACGUUAAACAAUAACGUUUCAGAAUUAGUCUUUUUUUUUUUCUGCAAAAUCUAGCAAAGAAGACACCGGAAUUGCCACGAUUCCAGAGUCCAGAAACCGGAAAAGAAAUUUCUUCAUUUGUAUCGAACCAGAGUGUAUAUAUGCUUUUUCUUCCUUGAUAGCUUAUUGGCUUACUUGUCUAGCCUCAAAGAGAUUGCAUUCGAUGAUGACUGGUGUUGUACAGAAAACUACCCCAUGCCUUACAUGUUUACGAACCAUCUAAUUAUAUCAUACAAUCAUAGUGACCUAUCUGUACAUGCUCAAUUAUAAAUGAACUUGCAACGACUUUAACAGCAAUAAUAAAUUGAAAAAUGUGUCAAAUUCAAGUAUACAUAUGAUCCUGACCGCUGCUCAUGAAUCAUCAUAACAAGCAAGUGCAUUGGAGAUUCUCUACUUGGUACGUCUUGGCUUUAGAAUAGAAAUUUCUGAACAUUUUUACGGAACUCUUUUGUGAUCUUUUAAUAAUAACAUUCAAGAUUAAUUGAUAACUUUCUGAAUAUCUAACCCUGGUAUACUUUUCCAUCCUUAUAUUGGUAUUAGCUAGUGGACAAUAUUGUACGUACAGUCAUGGGUAAAAUGGCUUAAUUAGUUCCAUUUCACCAUGGUUGCAGUUUAGCCAGAAGGCAGGCAUCGCGUAGAAAACAUUAGAGAUUUGUAUCGUUUUGGUUUCUAUAGUAUACAUUCUUUUUUCGAACGAUUUCCCUCGCUUGAGUAAGCUCACUUUGAAUCAGGUGACUUGACAAUUUGUUACUUAUCGAGAUCGAACUGGGCUGAUCUGAAAUCACGCAUUUGAAACUAGGGAAGAAAGAGAAAGAAAAGGAAAAAGAUGCCUUCGAAUUUUACAAUUCAGGUAGACCCACAUCAAUGCAGGCGGAAUUAAACCGCAGAUCCGUUGUUUGACAAUAAAGACGGCUAAAAAGGGUGGCGUUGGGUGGUCGGGAGCAGAUAUGCAUGCAUGUCGCGGCUUGCUAUGAACCAGGAAUGUCGGCUAAUACAUUAUUGCAAUUGCAUUCCCAAAUUGGUCAGAGAAGAUUCCAGCUUGACGUCUAGAGUGAGGGCAGGCAUUUAUUUUCCUAUGCCAGUCCUCCUGCUCCUGUCGUUAGGGCAUAGGACCUAGUAGUUCAAAUACUAGGACUUUAGAUUAGACAUUUAAAAGACUUGGGAGUAAUAUUAUUCAGGCCUCUUCUGCUUUCUAGUCCUCUAAUUUAGUGCCAAUCUUACCAGUUUUUCCAGCCGGGCAUUUAUGUCUAGAGCAUUAGUUUUUUACGCUAGGCCACGACACUCAUCCUAGCUCUACCAAGCCCGCCACUGCUGCUUCACUCUUUCUUGCAAGGUUGCCUAGCUUUUAUUCUGUGCUCGAAUCUUCAUUGGUUUUAGAUGGCCUAGUAAUUUUCAAAAUUUUUUUUAAAAAAAAUUUCUGUAGUUUGGGGGAAUGAGCAAUUCUUAUAUUAUUUACUUGAGUUGCAAUUCCGUUAAUUUAUUUGUGAGAAGAUUGUCGAGAGAGAGAUGCCUUUGAUUAAACAUGGAGAUGCUUUAGACUCGUGGUUGCAAUAUCUGGACGUAUUGCAAAAUUUUCAAUAAUAUUUAGACGCCAACAACUGCAUUAGUUAAUUCUCAUGACAUGAUCAUCACAAACACAAAAGAAUUCCUAUAGCAAUUAGAAGUGAUACCAAUAACCAAAAACUUCUCUUUUCUAUGACAAUCAAUCAUUGCUCAACUUGACAGUGUGUGAAUCCUUCAGUUUUCAAAUGGAGGCAGCCCCCAAUCUUUGGGGUUGAAAUCCAGUAGGGAACUCAGAACCUGAUCAGCAAUUUCAUGAUAUGAGUUGUCCAACCUAGGAUCAGGAACCAUAACAACAGACCUGCAAUGAUUUGUAAACAAACUUAACCCACAGAAUCUCAUGCCAUGUUGUACAAGCAUUAUUCCAACUUUUGUUUACUACAUCCACAGAUUAUAGGGGGAAGUAAUGAGGACUUACAUCCCAGCAUUUUUAGCUGCAAGGACACCAGAAGGAGCAUCUUCAAAGACGAGUAUGUUAUGAGGAUCAAUAGGUCCGCCCUGUCCAUAUGCAAAUUGAUGAUCCAAUUACAACACUUUCUUGUUGCAACAUAAGAAAGCAGUGACAGAAAUUCACCAACACAGGAUGCAACCUUAGCUUUUGCCUUUUAGGUACUAACUAAAAUUUUGUCUCACAGUACCUCAAAUCUUCUAGCUGCAGCAAGGAAUCCAUCAGGUGAGGGUUUGCCUUGUUUUACUUCAGGAUCGUCACCAAGAACAAUAUGAUGCAUCAGUGAAAAAAGUUCACCAUGCCUUCGUGUUUUCAACUCAAAAUGCCGUCUGUGAGAACUGUAACCAGAUUCAAGAGGAUUGCUGAGUCUCCACAUUUUAACACUUGAAAUUGCAGAUUAUAAUGCAUAAAGACAACAUCCAAAGAUCUAAAAGCUUAGAUCAUCAGUUAUGUGAAUGUGACUCAAAAUCUGAACAAGACAAGAAGAAUGAAGGUCAAAGUAUUGUACCCUGUUGCAACACAUAUUGGUACUCCAUUUGCAUGGAGGUGCCUAAUCAAGCGGCUGGCUCCUAAGAUCAUACGAAAGAAAAAGUUAAAACAAUGAAAUAAGAGCAUGUAACUGAAAGCUUUAGAACAAUAAACUAAUUAUUACCCAAAGAAAAAGUAACUAAAAAAAAAAAAGAGGAAGACUCCAAGAUGACAAAACCAUUCUUGAACUAUUUAAAAAGGUCAGCUGCCAAUUCACUUCCCAGUUUGGAAAGUAACCAACAUCCAGAACCCAAUAGAACUACAUUCAAUAAAAUUCCAAGGUGGAAGGAGGAGAAUUUAAGAAGAAGAAUGAGCAGACUCCAAGAUAAAGGGUGUACUCCACCAUCUACUAAACAAAUACAGAAUAGCAAGCACAGGAACCAAAUUUCGGAACCUGAAACUUGAAAUUUCCAUUUUAAGAUUAAAAAGGGUAAAAAUGGACAAUCCCUUCAGGAAAAAAGCUACAAUCACACACAGCAAAAUGACCUGAGUAUUAGAAAUGCAAAGGAGAUUUGCAAUUAAAUUGGUGUUAGGACGUUUCAUCAUUUUAUCUGCAAUUCUCAGGAUCAUUCCAUAAACUAACGAAUCACCAAAUAAGAAACUCAGAAAACAUGAUUUUGUACAUUUUUUUUCAUCUUGACAUGAAUAUUUCGUUGAAGUUCAGUAGACAUCUUUUUACUUAUUUUGCAGAUCUAUCUCAGAACAUACUCUCAAAAUCCAUUAGAAACUUUGGCACACAACAGACUUGUAUUUCCAUGUCAAAAGGAAUGGAAACAGCUAUUGAUGAGAAUCACAUCAAACUGCUGUCAACGGUCGCUAAAAUAACUUUAUCUCAUGAUUUCCUCGGUAAGUGCUUUCAAACUGACAUGUAGGAAGGCUUUCCACAGAUUCGAGUGUCCCAUGUAAGGGAGUAGUACUCCCCUUCUUCUUGAUCUUUUCAUGAUACUCUCUCGUAUGUGUUUCCCUCUAAAAAAAAAAAAACUGACAUGUAGGAACCCAGAUGCAAGAUUCUCAUGCCGACUCUGACAUCUAGCAUAUGAGAGCAAGAACCAGGAGUAUACAGGGAAAAAGUUUAGGUGCAAAAUAAUGUAGAGUAUAUUACGUGUUGGAAAUACAAAAAUACCUGGCAUGAGUUCGCUAGUUGGAAACAUGUCCCGCAGCAUAUCCUCUCUUUGCACAAGGAAAUCUUCAGCUGUCAGCUUAUCGUUAAUACCAGUCUCUUCAACAAAUACUCGAGCAGCUUCAAUUGCCUUCUUACCCAUCAUUUUUGCCUUCAAAGACCAAUCAAAAGUCUUGUUGUAUCUUGCAAGUAUAGUCUCCUGCACCUCUGUAUAGAAUUUUUCUGUAUCUGUAGCAAUCUAGAAACUGAAUAAGUUUGUUUCUUCACCAAUUAAAUAUCUCUAAGUACCCAUUAAGACAAAGAUCACUACAAUCAUCCUCAGAUCUAAGAAUGGAAAGUAAAAAGAUCCAAGGAAACUAAAUCUUCCUGACCUAAGAUCCUUUCAGAUAUUUCAGCACCAGCUUCCAAUGCAUAAAUAAGCACCAAUUCAAGGAAGACAUAUUCAGGUCUUAUUUUAUAUAAAAUUGGACAUAAUCAGUAUUAUCAGGGAAAAUUAAAAAAAAAAUGCUUAAAGUAUCAUAAAAGAAGAAAUAAAUCCAAAGCCCUGAUCCACCGGAGUAUGCUAGGGAUUUUGAUUGCUAUGGCUUGCAAAAGUCUGUUCUUGGUGAAGGAUUGAAAAUAUAAAUAUCAAUAACAAUUGUUAACAAUACAUCAUGAGGCUAAAAAGAAAGGGACAAGUUAGUAUUUUAAAUACCAUCUAAAAGUUCUGUGCAAGUGUGCUUCAAAUCCUCUCCUUCAAUAUUUUGAUAAGCAACUGCACAAAUCCACCUCAAGACAUUUUCAGAAAGAAAUUGCAUAUUAAAAGGUACACGAGGCAUAGAAGAGCACCCAAGGAUGUAAAAAGACACAGAUUCAAUAGUUUGUGAACUGAAAUUAACACACUGCAAAGUGGGAUAGAUCCGCACACUACUCCAAUCCACAGGAAGAUUGCUAAACCAACACUCUGUUCCUCUCCUAUAAUUUUUAGGCUUCACAAAGUACCACAAUAUAUGGACUAUAGAAAAUCAGGUGGUCCAUACAUGUGUAUCUGCCAAUCAAACUUGCAAAAUUCAUUGUAUCUUUCACGAGAAUGCUUUUGCAAAACCUCAGUCUCAAUCCUUUUCCCAUGAAAGUCCUAAGCUACAAGAACCACAGGCGUUAUAAUGAAUUUUAAGAACAAGCCAACAGCUAUUGAUCCCAAGUAUUUGUCAAUUAUUUGCUUACUCCUCCAAGGAGAAAAAGUGUCACCCCAAACUUACCCUGCCAGCAUCAAUUGUCAUAUAGGACCCACAUUGGUAAAAUUACAACAGCUAAGUAUACAGCAUUAAGUAUGAUUUUGGUCCAAAAACAUAUAAACUUAACGAACAAUUAAGCUUCUCCACCAGUUAUGGAGAGUAUUAACGUUAAGCUACUCAAGAAAUUAUCUUUUUGCUGUUUAUUUCGCGCGUUAAUUGACGAACAAACCAACGAAAAAAGGCAAUUCAAUUACAGGGCAUGAACAGUUUAAGGCUUUAAGCCAAAAGCUCAGGAUGCUAGGACAAAUCUGUCCAAAAAAAACUUAUGGGAUUCAAUACUUAAUCGCAUUAAACUCUAUACAAGUAGUGACUUUGUCAGCGAGAAAUAAAUAUACCUAGUAAAAGGCCAUCCAUGUCGAAGAUGACAUGAGUUACUGAGCCUUUUCUUUGAGAGCUAGAAGAGUCAACUUCACUGCCUCCAUUGAUAUUCACCAUUGUCAGAUUUGCUUGUUUGCUUUGACCCCAACCACAGAUCUUGAGAGCACACAGGCAGUGUCAGUAUGCCGUUUUUCUGGGGGCUUUUACAGCCUUAGAUGAAAAUUGCUGCUGAUUUUUUCUGUUCGUUUUCCGUUUUCAAUUGGCUAUUUUCAUAUUGUGAAUUUACAAUAAUGUCCCCAUAAGGCAACUUAUUUGCCCCCCUCAAUGUUUGGAGUUAACAAAUCUUUUUCUACAGUAUCCACAAUGGUUUAAACUCUUUAGAAUGUAAUUCACAUGCCACGUUAAUAUUCUACUUUCUCCUUUUUUAUUACACUUUCACUCAUAAUGGAUUACACUCCACAAGCUGUAAUAGCAUGGGUUCACAACUAAAUCAAAUAUUUAUUUUAAUAAUGCAUAACUCAUAUCCCAUAAAUAAAUAAAGUAAUUUUUAAAAAUAAUUUUGUUAUUUUUAAAAAAUAAAGUAUUAACUUUCAUUAAAUUUGGAAAAUUUUGGGGGAUUUGAUUUUGUGAGGAUGAUGAAUUUUCUAUAUACUGAGCAUUUAACAUAUUUGUAAAACUACUAAAAUUUUCAUCCAUAAUCACAAAAUAUUGAAAUUUUAAAAAAUUGUGCACAAAGGUUGAGGAAAAUGAGUGAGAGAGUAAAAGAAAUAAUAGAGUAGAAUAGUGGGAAAUGAAAAAAAAAGAGUGUGUUGUGUGUUUAUAUAGAGAAUUAAAAAUUUAAAAUAUGACUGUUGGAAAAAAUGAACGUUGAAACCUUCAAGUUUGCUGGGCAAAAUUUUGUCAGACUGCUAAAUUUUGUAAUGGGUGGCCUAUCCAUUACACGCAUCAUUCUGAUGAUGCGUGUAAUGGGUAUUACACGGUCACAAUGGAUGGCAGUAUAAUGAACCUAUAUUUUGUCAUGCAUUGCACUCCUUAUUAUCCUCCGUUGGAGAUGCUCUAAUGGUAAGUUUUUAGAGAACUGGUGAGAUUUAUAUAACAAAAUAAAAAACUUUAAAAAGCUUAUUCAUUUUGUUAUAUGUUAAUAUGAGGUUCUCUUGCAUUAAUAUAAAUCUUCAUUUUUAGAUACAAAUUUUCAGCUAGUCAUAAUUGGUCAUAUGCUGAUACGAAAUUCUCUUACAAAAUAAAUGUCAUUCGUAUUUUGUUGUAAUACAAAACACAGGAGUUCAAAUUCUUGAAGUUUCAAUAUUAAUCACUAAAUCAAGACUUCAUCGGCUUUUGCUAUGUAGUUAUGAGUUAUCUUUGAAGCAAAAGAUCUAUCCUCGUAAUUCUCAGUUUCAGAAAGAAAACUUUGCAUUUGGUUCAUGGGCUUUUUUUAAAAAAAAUUUUUAUUUUGGUCAUUUGGAUGCCGUUAUGUGAACUUCUAAGGAAACUUUCAUGUGGAGAUCAAGGCUCAACACCAUUCCCGGCCAUAUUGAAAGGGAAUCCUUGUGAUAUAUCAGGUUUCAACCAACGAUUCUUCCUUUAUUCCUCAGCGUUAGGAAGAACAUGAGUGCAUUCUACACCUGAAUGAAGCAUUAGGAAGAAGAAUAUGUUAUCUGCCACGAAGGCAAAGGCCCCAGCAAAGCCGUACAAAAGCUGGGUCAUUUGAAUUUUGAGGUCGAGUUCAGUUCACUUAUUUUGAGGUGGGUCAAGUUCAAACUUCAACCGUGUCAACUCCACUGCACCACCGGGGAAAAAAAAAAGGUCGGAUAGUUCCUGCAGUCUAGUACUUGCCUAAGAGUUGAAUAUUACCAAACUGGAUCAAAGGGGGAAAAAAGUCAAAAUUUAUUGAUGGUGUUGAAAUUUAAUACUAACAAAAAGAGGACAAGGGGGAGCUGAAGGAGAUUAUGCCAUUGCAUAUUUGCAUCUCCCAGUAACUGCACCGCAUUACAAAAUUUGGAAGUAACAAUUCUAGUAUCACAGUAUCAAGCAAACUCUACUACUUCUCCUCCUGCUUAUACUCGGUAUAAUUAGUAGCCUUUUCAUCCCCAU
rnacentral:lncRNA from 1 species